rnacentral:lncRNA from 1 species
UGAAUCCAAGGUUCGCCGUACCGUACCGUACCGGCGUUUCGACCCGCGCUCGGUACGGUACGGUACGGGUGUACCGACCGGUAUACCGAGGUGUACCGAGCGGUACACCCGGGUGUGCCGAGCACUAUAGCACUGUAGCAGUGCUACAGUACUGCUACAGUACCGGAACGGUAAGAGGUGGUCCGCGUACCGAAAGUCGGUCGGACCGGUACGUACCGCCCGUACCGGGCGGUACUGUUCGGUACGGCAAACCAUGCUUGAAUCACAACUUACCAAAAAAAAGUACUUGAAUCACUCCCCUAUAAAUUGAGACAUCAUCGACAACAAUCCAGAUAAUGUGCACCCAUGAUCAUUCUUAAUAGGAUGGUUCUAGCUUAAUCAUGAGUGCCAUCAAAACAUUCAAACUCCUACUGUGAUAACACCUGGCAUUGAUUGGAAACAAUAAACAUAAUUUCACAUUGCAAACCCUAGAAAAUAGAUCUAAAAUCCAUUGAAGAAAAGAAAGCAAAAAGUUUGAUUAAACUUGAACCAUGCUUGCAAUGAGAUGAAAUGCUUUUUUAUGAGUUACAUAUUUUUCUUUGAAAGUAAGAGAAUACCCUAGAAUAUUCUAAUUUAAACACUUAUAUAUCAUAAUCUAAAAAUCAUUUAAAAUAAGAGAACAUUUAUAUAUGACUUAUUUGACAGCAACUGGACAUUAAUAUUGUUAUGGUAGUCAUGGCAAUUCUUGACCUGAACCUGCUUGAAACAAGUUUGUUUGACUUCAUUUAUUUUAUAUUUUAGGUUUGUUGAACACCAAAAUCAAUUGAAUAAAAGCCAUCUAAACCUGACUUCUCAGAGUGAGUUUUAUACAACUGUUCAGUAAAAUAUCUGAAUAAGAUUGGAUGUUUGGAAGAAUAUAACUUAGUGAGUAAAGAUUUUAAAAUUGAGAUUCAUGUUUCAUAUGUUCUCUAGUAUCUCUAGCAUGGAUGGUCUCAAUAUCAGAUGAAGCUUGGUCAAUCUUCAUCAUUUUUUCUCAAUGGACAAUCGCUCUCAACUUCAAUCUUGUUGCUUUUAACUGUUCGGUAUCUCUACUAUCUCUACCAUGGAUGGUCUUAGUGUCAGAUGAAACUUGGUCAGUUUUUAUUUAUAUCUUCUCAUAGGCAAUCUCUCUUCAAUCCAAGAAAUUAGACUCUUGGGCAAUGACACCAUGCUGUCAUUGUUGUGACUGCUGAAUUCUCAUGCUGCUUUCUUAUCUUUGCCAAGCAUUGUGUUGCAUUUUGAUAUCAUAUCUAUUACUCAAGUUCUUAACUUGAAUAGAUUUGGUGCAAGCUGUGAUUCUAUAACCUGAUCAUAAGUAGGUUAGGUUGGAGUUGAGAAAAUUUAUGUGGACCCGAAACCACUAAUCAACCCUCUCUCCCACUGUCAUGGAAUUGCUAGCUUUACUGAUGGUAGGUUUGAUAUGUGCUUAAAAGUGUUUAUGUCAUCAAAGGCAAAUUGCAUGAACAUGUACAUUUUGGCUAAACUGUAAAACAGUAAAUGGAUUCUAGUCAUUGAACAAUCUUGAUAUAACAGGAUCAGCUUAACUGCUUCUCCUAUCCACUUCCUACUUGUAAAUUUUUGGUCAGAUACAGUCACUAAUUUCCUUGGGCACAUAGAACACCACAUUGCAAUCAUGUCUGCAUUUUAUACAAUUCCACAAAUAAUGAUUGAAACUUAGUUCAGUCAGUUUUGAUCAUUGUCAUGAAUUUCACAUUUUCAGAUGUUGGAUCAAGGACAUUUAGUACUGAACUGUGAUCUGCAUGUGGUGCGACUUGUUGAUUUAUUUGAUAUCAAGCUUUAUUGUUCCAUUCGUCUUUUGUUUUCUUGUAGUCAUUUUUUAAAAUUUUGUGAUGCUUCCAUAUUGCUGACAACAAGUCUAGUAAAUGAUGAAAUUGCCUUGAUUUAAUUUGCGACUAUACAAAAUUUUCUGCAGGUUUAUUAUCCAGCUGUUCGAGAGCAAAGGAAACUAAAAAAUGGUUCUGACUCUGUGAAACUUAAGCCCCUUUUUCCUGGUUGUGUCUUCCUAAAUUGUGUUUUGAACAAGGAGAUUCAUGACUUUAUCAGAGAAAUUGAUGGCAUUGGAGGCUUUGUAGGGUCCAAAGUUGGAAAUACGUAUGUUGAAUCAUUCCUAUCAAAAGUUUAUACUUGAAAUAGUAUUACAUGAUCUCUGUUUAUUCAUGUCAUGGAUAGUAGGAACAUAAUGAUAAAGUGAGUGACUUUUUGGUUUGCUUUGUAUAUUGUUUUUGACUAAUUCAGUUUUGCAUAUAUGUUUGAUAAUGAGUCCUUGAGGGCUUUGUAAUCAUGGCACAUAUUUUAUUUGCCUUCCUAAGUUGUGCUUAUUCAUCACCUUAUGUUGAAAACAUGCUGUAUUUUGAUCAUAGACACCUAAAGCUUGCCACAUCAAUUCAGAAGUCACUUACUAUCCUAUCACAUGAUAGGUUUAUGAUACCUCAAUUGUAUAUCUAAACCACAUUGCUUUUAAUUUGUAUUUUAAUUUUUCUUUGUUCUGCAUUUUCUUGUAUUAAUUUAUGUUUGCUUUGUACACUCAUGAACUGCAAAUGCCUAUAUCUUCAAUUGUCAACCAAGUACUAGUCAUCAAGUCAAAUUUGCAAAGCCUUCUCUUUAUUGACAUGAAACUAGCACCUUUUUCGUUCCUGUGAUCUUUAAAAGCAACAGUUUCUUACCAAGAAUGAAAAGGAGAAUAUUGCAUAUCUUGUUUAGACCGUACUAGCUUCAAGACUUAAUUAUAUUUUGAAUAAUCCUCCAUGUUAUGUGAGUUAACACAGUUGUGCUAGUAUGUAUCAGGUGGUAUGCCUGAUUGGUAUUUAUCCUCAUAUAAUACAAAUAUUGAUAAAUUAUAGAUCAAGUAGUGGCAUACCAUGAUACUCACCACUUAUUGAUAUUUAACUAUUUUGUAAUAAUUUUUAUUCCAUAGCAACUUGUAUCAGUAUCAUAUCAACUAACUAUUACCAGUCUACGGAGUUCCCGUACCAAACUAACGUGCUUAGUUACAAAUUUGAUGCACUAAUAAUAUUAAGCAAUCAGAGUUCUGACCCUCUAAAUUCUAUUCCUAUGAUCAAUCAGAUACUGAACCACUGCAUAAUGAAUUAUUGUGCUUAAGCUUCAAAUUCAGCUACCUUUUGUACCAAAUACCAAAUGCCACUAGAUAUUUUGUGCUUUCCUGCCUAAUAGAUGAGUGGAAUGAUCUUUCUAUUUCUGUUGUUCAUUAUAGGUGGAACUUGUAGCUCACAAAAAGAGAACCAUGUACAAAAAGGAUCCUAAACAUAUGUACUUGUGAAGUUAUUGAUCAAAGACGGGAAUAGAUAGUCAGCAUACUGCUCUAUCUUUAAGUAUCUAAUUACUAAAUGUGGAAAUAAACUAGAUCAUGGCUUCAAUGUUUAUGUCCUCAAAGUUGCAAGGUGACGUGAUCAGUUCUUGUUUCUAUAAGGUUAUUGCUAUUUUAACUGCUUGGAAUUGAUAGGAAGCUAGGUGAGGUCACAAAGAGAGUUCAGAUAUACUGAUAACAUGUUUUCCAUAUAAAUGAUCUUUUCUCUUCUUUUUUUGUGAGAAAUCAUGUCGAUAAUAUUUGUUCUAUCUUUCCCAGCAAAAGGCAGAUAAACAAACCAAAACCUGUUCCAAUGGAGGAGAUGGAAGCAAUAUUUCAACAAGCUAAAAAAGAGCAAGAUAAUGCUGUCAAACAAUCCAAAGAUCAACAGCAGCAGAAUGUUCUGAAUGGCUCUGUAGAUAGCAUAAAAUCUGCCACAAAGACUAAGCCUAGCAACUCAAAGAAAGGUUCAAGGUAUUCUGAAAGUAGCUUGGUGCAUUUAGAGGAUCAUAAAUCUCUUGCACCAGGUUCUAAUGUUCGCAUUUUGUCUGGGCCGUUCUCUGAAUUUACUGGCUGCAUCAAGGAGGUGAAUCUUGGAAGUGGAAAGGUAUGUGCCUGUGUGGAUGAUUACAAGUCCACACUAAAUUUACCGUAUCAAGUAAACUGCCUGUUCCAUUAUGACCUUAACAAGAGUAAAAUAAGCUAAUGCCACAAACAAAAGGAAAAGGUAACAAGGGCCAUUUUUCUGUAUGUUUGUUUAUUUUAACUGCAGUACUCUUACUUUUGUGAGGGAACUUUGACAGCAUAUGACAUAUUCUAAUCCUUCAUGCAGGUUACUGUUAGCUUGCAGUUGUUUGGCAAAGAUAACUAUGUGGAUCUGGCGAUUGACCAAAUUGUUUUAGAAGCUUCAUGAGGUUGGAAUUGGACCUUUGCUGUUGGUCCUUCAUAGUUACCUCUUUUUGACUUCUUCUCAGGGUAUUAUUUUUUGAAUUAAUGGAUGAGCAAAGCAUUAUAAAUAUCUUAGUUGUAUUGGCAAAUAUUUGCAUUUUUUGUUUAAUUUAUGUUGUGAUUACACAUCCCAUAAAUCUAGGAACUCAAGCAGAGUAACUUUGACGUCAAAUACUCAGCAAGUAGAUCCCUACAAUGUGGACCUAAGGCAAAUGUAAUCCUUCCUGCUCGCAAUAAACUGUUUCUGCACAAUGAUAACUUUGUAGAUGAAUAAACUCUCAUUUCCAUUUAUUUCUCUCUGGAUGCUAUUUUUGCUAUUCUUACAAUUUAAAUACAUAUGUGGAUCCGAAUUCCUUAUUUCCUUCAUGCUUUUCCUAGUUCUCAUUGCAAGAAUUUUGUGAAGUAUUUACUUUUGAUGGUUUUUUUCUUUCUAUUAACACGAAAGAUUAGUUAACAAAUAUUUUUUCUAAACUACUAAGUGAGAAACAGUUUGAUUUUAUUAGAAGAGAAGUUUGAUUUUAUUAGAAGAGAAUUAUGUAUAUUGAAUCUUUUAAAUGUAUGAAUCAAGAUCUUUUACCAUUUGUUCUUAUAUGAUUCUUUCUUCUUACUUAAGAGGAGAUUUAUCCAAAUGAAUCAUGAUUUUUCAUUUAAAUUCUUGAUAUUCAUGACUUAAUAUUUAUUUUGUAUGAAUCAAGAAUUUUUACUUGAUAUUUAUUUUGUAUGAAUUAAGAAUUUUUACUAUUCGUUCUCUUAUAAAUUUUUUUUUUUUGCUAAUGACUAAGAAAGGGAUAAACAAGUAUAUCAUAACCUUUCAAAAUGGUAUAUAAACAGGCAAAGUUUAGUUAAAACUUUGUCAUCAAUUGAUUGUCAUCAUAAAAAAAUGGGAGAUUAUUGAAUCUCAUAUUUUGAUGAUGAAAUCAAUUGAAGAGUUUAUGAACUAAUAUGCUUUUGAGAUAAGUGACGUAGGAUUUUGAUAAUGAAAUCAAUUGAUGAGUUUACAAACUAAUAUUCUUUUGAGAUAAGUGACAAGAAAUACUUUAAUCACAGACUCGAACCAUCAAAGAGUAAAUUGUUGAAGUAGGAGAAUUAAACAUUGUGCCUGGAAAAGUAUUAUAUCGGAAAUUAAACAUUAAGCCGAAGGAUUGGUCGACGUGUUGAAGAUACUUCUUGCUGUAAGUUCGGGCAUUAUGCUAGAAGGAUCGAGUAUUGCACAAAAAGAUUGGAUGUCGUGCGAAAGUUGACAUGCUAAUAAAUUAAGCGAUAUGCCAAAGGGAAGGAUGAUAUGUCGAAGGUUUGAACAAAGUAUCAGAAGAUCGGACGACAUACCAGAAUGGCGUACAAUGUGCUGAAAGCUUUAUAAUUGUGCUGGAUACGUGGUUGGAUUAUUAAAAUCUUGAUCGAGGUCUUUUUGGAUCAAAUUGAGUUCGUAUUAGGUUGAAACCAUGCCAACUUGUCAAGGAAUCCAUUGGGCUUGAACAUGGGUCGAAUUAGGCCUGUUAUAAGGCCAAAUCGGUGAUCUAAAGUAGGCCUAAGUGGUGAAAAGCGGUAGUAUCGCUUAAGUCAGUUGAAAAGCACUAUUUAUACUUUUUUGAUAAUUUUGUCAGUAGUACUACCCAUGCUGACGGUAGUAUCGCUUAAGUCAGUUGAAAAGCACUAUUUAUACUUUUUCGAUAAUUUUGUCAGUAGUACUACCCAUGCUGACGGUAGUACCACCCAAGGUGAUGAUAGUACUACCUAGGCCGAUGGUAGUACUGAUAUAGCCUUGAUUCGUGGCCUUGUUAUAGCAGUACUACCGCCCGGUGCCUGUGGUAAUAUAUUUAGUAUCCCAAAAUUUCGGGGAUUUGAAUUUUUUGCUUUAUUCUUGAAGUCUUUUGAGGUCUAUAAAUACCCCACUUAUGCUUAUUUGAUGGAGUACAAAUGUUUUAGCACAAAAGUGUUGCAAACUCUCUCUUUGAGAAGUGUACGAGUCCCUUCCUCCUUUUUUAGUUUAGAGGUGAUUCUAAGUUGUAGGAGGUGAGAGAUUUUAUUAAAGAAAGAGUGUGAAGGUUCUCUCCUGAGCCUAUUAAAAGGAGAAAAGCUGUAACAAUGAUAGUUUGAUAUUUGUCUAUUGGAAAGAAGAUCGAUAAUGAAAGCCGGUGGCCUCGAGGGAAGAGGAAUCAGGAGUAGACGUAGGUCGGAAAAACCGAACUACUAUAAAUCUGUUUGCAUCCCUUCUCUUGCCUUUGUUUUGUUAUUACUUAUUGAUUUACUUCACUCGCUAUCCUUACUUGCACUUUUGGUUAAAUGUAUUUCUCAUACAGAUUUAUCGAUCUAAUAUUAAAAUCGUAUAAAAUUACUAUAACACUAAUUCACCCUCCUCUUAUUGUCAUUACGAUCCUAACAUCCCUCUCUAUUUUGCCUACUUUUCUUAUUUACUAUAUCCUUUUGCCUUGUGGAUACUCAUUCUCUUCUAUUAUAUUAGUUCUAGGAUAUUUUUAUCCUAGAAUCACCUCAUGGUGUUAAGUCUUUUCGGAUUGAGUGGAGCUAUAUAUUAGUAGUUUAAGGCAAGGACCAUAAUCUCAUGUCGAUUGAUUCAUAUUAUUCUUUGGUCGUAUCGGUACGUAUUGAUCGGUAUAUUAGUACGUGUCAAUAGGUAUAAAAACCACAUGAUAUGUUGGUACAUGUCUAAAGAUCCAAAUAUAGGGCUAAAAGAUCUUCAAAAAUACCUAAAAAUUAAGAAAAAAAAAUAUAAAUUAUGAUGUUUUAGUUAGAACUUAAUGUAAUUAGUUUAAUUUCAAUAAAAAUAUAUCUAAAUAAGGAAGAAUUAGUGGAUUUAUCAUUUUUGGACGUUGAAUAGUAGUUGUAUUAGAAUUGUUCUUUCGUUUAUAGUGAUAAUCUACAAAUAUAUGACUUGAAAUGUUAGAUUAUGUAUUAAAGCCUUGAGAUUUACACAAAUCAAAUAAUGAAGGAUUAAUUAUUGGAUAUAUUUGAUUUUGCCACCCAAAUGAAUAAUGAGACUCUAUAGCCGAUGAUUCGAGAUUUUUGAUCCUAUGUAUUUGUAUAUUGAUAUGGUAUGUCUAUUGGACUUAAUCUUAAAAUUUCUCUCGUAAUAUAUGAUGUAUUGAUAAGCGGUAUAUCAUUGGUGGUUGCUUGAUCGUCUUGAACUACAUAUGUUCGAAAAGUCUCUUGAGGCAAUUAUGAUUAUGACAUGUAUAGGUGAGGAGGUGGAAGGAUGUCGGAACUUUCACUAUUGUCACUAACUUGCUACUCUAUAUCAUAAAAAUGAUCAAACUUAGAGAAGAAUGACCAACUAUCACCGUACUAUUGUUACUCAUAUAAUCCUCCAUAAUAUGAUGAGCUCUGCUUAAACUUGCUACUCUAUAUUCAUAUCAUAUAGGCUUUAACACAUCUACUUAAAGUCAUCGACUACCUUUCCCUUCCCUUUCUAUAUAUAAACAUUCUUAUAUUAUUUACAUCAUAUGGCUACCUCCUUGGGCUCCAUGAUUUGGGUGGCAUAUUUAAAAUAUUAUUCCUCGGUCUAUGCACCACUUAAGGUUGAGUACAUGAAACUAUUGAUUUCUAAUCAUCGUCGCCGUAACUAGUCGAAGCAUUGGUAUUUACGUCACCGCUAUAUCUACGGAUCGAAGGGAGCGUUGAAUUUGAUGAAGAUAUCUUGUCGCUUGAUUGAAAUUGUUGCUCCUUCAUUCUUUCCAAUAGAUCGACUAAUACUGUUGCAUUCUCUUUUUCCUUUGCAUGCUAGGCGGAUGAUUGUGAUUGUUAGGUAUCAUGACCUCGACUAGUUUGACUUGAGGUUGUUCGGCUCUUAUUGUUAUGUUUUGACUGAGGUGGAUCUUCCUCGUACUGGGGAUAUUAUUCCUCUUUCUCUAUUGCCUUAAUGAUAAAAUAAGAAGGAUGUAAAGAUCUCCUAUCUCUACAAGUAGAGAAUCCCCUUAGUUCUCUAUUGUUUCAAUCCAUUCCGGUAUCAAUUGAGAAUCUUCGUUAUAGUAUUGGAGGUCGAAAUGAUCAAUCUCUGGUUCCUCUUGCUCUUUAUCGAGCUCGACAUAUAUUAUAGUGCACAUAUACGAGUUUCUCCAAGCAUCUAUAUGAUAGUCUAUUGUAGACCUUCUUAUGAAUCAAGACGAACAUUGACUAAUUACAUUUGUAACCACUUAAUGUUAUCAUUUGUGAAAGUAUAUGGGCCAUAACCUUUCUUAAAUUGGAUGUGGACACUCUAAAUUAUAGCCAUCACUUAGUUGUAAAAAAUAUAUAAAUUACAUUUCAUUAGCAUAACAAAUCACUAAUAUUAAUUUUAAUUUAUAAUUAAAAAUUAGUGUGUAAUCUUUUCUUACUAUUAUCUUACUAUUAUACAAUGACACAAUAUAGCUAUAUUAUCUGAUAAUGAUCCAACACUUUUUCGGAAUAUAAACAACCCUCUAUGAUAGCAUAGGUUACAUCAACACUUUUUGAGAAGAGUUGAUAUUAUAACAUUCCUUCACACUUGCAACAAAUCUGAUUAGGUUCUAAGACUCUUGUCGGUAAUAUGUUGGAAGACAAAUGAUUUUGUCAAUAUUGAAUUUUUCAUACAAUGAAUAUUUAUAUUAUAAAUGACUAUGAAUUUGAAUAUAUUUGUAUUGUGAGUAUCUUGGUUCAUAUGAGCUUAGAUCUUAGUUCGAUGAUCUGUAAAUACUAAUCAGACUUCCUUCUUUACCUUCUCUCUCUGGUUGGAAGCAAUAUAUAUCUAAAAUAGGAUAUCUAUAAAUGCUUUUCUAUAUUGACCUGAUAGGGGAUAACAUAUAGUAGUUCGAUUGGUGUUAUGAUUUCAUUCACAAGCUUCUAUAAUCUAUAUCAUAAAAUCAUCUUUUCUAUUUUUUUGCCAUUCGGAAUCUAACCAUUUUUUAUGUAACUAUUGCUUUUAGACUAUCUUUUUUGCUAAAUAGACUUUAAACGAUGAAAUUUAUUACAAACUAAAUAAUAGUAAGUCGGAGUAUCUCUCUAUUUAUAAACUUUUAGAGUACACCCAAUAACGAUUAUAGAUAAAACUUAUUGUGGCCUAUGCCCUUGCUACAUACAUUUUUGACUGUUGCUAACUCAGUCCAUGCAAUAAGUAACAUUAAGUCUAAAACAAGCUUCCUCUUUACUCUAAACUAUAACAUGGCAUUCUUGAAAUUAGCUUCAUUAUCAAUCACAAUCUGCAUAAUAUACUAUGGUCUAAUCUCUUCUACUAUGGUGUCCAUGAGAUUCUCAAUAUAGUUUACAUCAUAAAUUUUGUUUGAAGCAUUCAUGGACUUUUAGAAGACUAUGCUUCUAUUGUAAUACACAAGAAAAUUAAUGAUGCUCUUCAUCUGGUCUAAUUGUCACACAUAAGUAUUACCUCAUACUCAUCUCACUAGUUUUUAAAUAAUUUGAUCUAUUUUUUAAGUUUUGUCACAUCCUCAUCUAGAUAAAUAUAAUGUAUCCCCUUCGGUAUAGGAGGUUGUGUUGAAUCUCAAGUUUUAAUGAUGAAAUCAAUUGAUGGGUUUACGAUCUAAUAUGCGUUUUGAGUGAUGUAGGACUAACGUCGAUCAGAAAAGAUAAAUUGAUUAAAAUAGGAGGAAUCGGACGUUGGGCUGGAGUGAACAUAUCAGAAGAUUGGACAUCGGCCGGAGGUUCGAUCGACGUGUCGCCAGAAGGACUUUGUGUUGUGAGUUCGGGCAUCGGGCCGAAGGAUCAUAUAUUGCAUCAAAGAUAGCCACAUUUUUCUCAUUUGGUUUAACACCCAAGAGAAAUAGCUUUUACUGACAAUCAAGAGGUUCUUUCUAUCAUUCGUCCUCCUAUGUUCAAUGGGACGAACUAUACAUAUUGAAAAACUCAAAUAAGGGUUUUUUUGUUUUCUAUGGAUUUGAAUUUAUGGAAUAUUAUCGAAAGUGGUUUUCAAAUGUCUUUCAAACCAAUAAAUGAAUAAAAUGAUUUGGAGAAGAAGACUUUUCUUUAAAUGCUAGAGCUAUAAAUGUUCUAUUUUGUAGUUUGAACAAAAAUGAGUUUAAUUGUAUUUCUUUAUGCAAAACUGCACGUGAGAUUUGGCACAUACUAGAAGUAACUCAUGAAGGCACAAAUAGAGUUAAAGAGUCAAAAAUAAAUUUUUUAAUGCAUGAUUUUAAACUGUUUUGAAUGAAGCCAAGCGAAACUAUUAUUGACAUGUGCACCCAUUUUAUGGAUGUGGUCAAUAGUUUGAAAAUUCUUGGCAANNNNNNNNNNNNNNNNNNNNUGAGAUUUGGCACAUACUAGAAGUAACUCAUGAAGGCACAAAUAGAGUUAAAGAGUCAAAAAUAAAUUUUUUAAUGCAUGAUUUUAAACUGUUUUGAAUGAAGCCAAGCGAAACUAUUAUUGACAUGUGCACCCAUUUUAUGGAUGUGGUCAAUAGUUUGAAAAUUCUUGGCAAAUAUUUUUCUAAUCUUGAACUUGUAAACAAGAUCCUAAGAUCCCUUCAAAAAAAUUGGGAUCCAAAAGUAACGAGAAUACAAAAAGCGAAGGACCUAAACAAAUUUUCACUUGAAGAACUUAUCAGGUCUUUAAUGACUUAUGAAAUAACUUGUAUUAAACAUGAUGAAUAUGAGAACUACCUUCUAAGGAACAUGAAGGAUUUGACACUUUGAACAAUAGAAGACCACUCGAGUGAAAGCUCAAAGUGAUGAUGACAUAGAACUUUUGACAAAAAAUUUAAAGAGUUCAUGAAAAAGAUUAAUUCUAAAAAUGAACUUAAAAAUGACACAACAACUUGAUAUAAAUCAAAGAAGCUAUGAAAGUAGAAGAAAGCAUUCAAUGCGACAUGGGACGAAUUGAGUACAUCCGAAGAUGAGGAGCAAACCAUCAAAGGUAAGGUGGCGAACUACGCCUUAAUGGCUUUUGACGACGAGGUAAAUGACUCAUCGAAUCUCAUUUAUCUUAAAAUGAAUUGCUUAAUGCUUUCUAUGAUUUAUUUGAUGAAUAUAAACUAGUUAAUAAAAAAUAUAAGUUGUUAAAAAAUGAUCAUGCUUCUCUUGCUAGUGAAUUUGAAAAAUUAAAAAAUAAGCAUGAUAAUUGCAUGUUAACUCCUUGCAGUAAGUUUGAAGAGUUAGACUCGUUUAAAAAGAAAAUUUUAUUUUUACAACAAACGUUAGAUAAAUUUAAAAUUGAUAGUAAAUCUUUAAACAUGAUUCUUGUCAAUAAGAGUCAUGUUCGUAGAAAAGAAGAAAUCGACUUUGUGAGUAACACUCAACAAAAGCCAAUCAUUUUUGUUAAAGGACCCAUAUUAUAUGUUUCCUUUGAAAAUAAAUAUAAUUUUUAUGGUAAAUAUGGUCAUUUUAUAUAUAAAUGUCUAUUCAAAAAGUAUGGCUUACAUAAAUUAGUUUGUGUUUCUAAAGGAACCAUGAAUGUCUUAAUGUUAAAAAUUAAAAUAAAUAGAUCUAACCAUGAGAGGCCCAAAGCUAAAUGGGUACCUAGAACAAACCCACCAUUCUUGUAGAAAUAUCUAAUCGAAAGCUAUGAGCAAAAUUAAAAUUUUGAUAGUUGAUGCUCAAGACUUAUGACCGGAGAUCCAAUACACUUCACAAAGCUUACUAGCCGAAACAAAAUGAUUUUAAAAAUACUUUAUGUUUAAUAAAAUCAUACUUGAUGAUUUAAUGAUUUAAUUAUGCAUGAUGAUUUGAAGUAAUGAUGAUUUUUAUGAUUUAUGUUUUACUGAUCUUGAUGAUUUUUAUGAUGAAAUUUGCUUUUUUGGUUUUAAACGAUGAUGCAUAUUUUUAUUUAGCAUAAAAGACAAAUGUUAUAAAAUAAAUUAUAUAAAUUGAAACAAAUAAAAAGGAAAUGCAUGUUUCUUAAAAAAAUUCUCUAUCUAAUCGAUUUUUCAAUAAGAGAUUAAGAAAUCCUUUUAUGUCAUUUUGAAUCUCUUGAAACUUAUUUUGAUGAUUUGAUGAUUUGAAAUUGAAUGAGUUUUAUCGAAAUCAUAAUAUUGAUUUCUCGAUAUUUGAUACUUGAGAUUUUUUUUAUAAAUCAAGAUUUUUUUUCUUUCACUAAAGAGGAGAUUCAUUCAAACGAAUCUGGAUUCUUUCACUUGAUAUUUAUGAAUUGAGAUAUAUCUUAUAUGAAUCAAGAUUUUACAUUAUUUGUUCUCCUAUGAUUCUUCUUGGUAUUUACUAAGAAAAAGAUUUAUCCAAAUAAACCAUGAUAUGUCACUUGACUUCAUUUUAUUUAUGACUUGAAUUUUAUUAUGUACAAUUGUUUUAUAUUUAUGAUUUGUAUAUCUUAUGAUAUGAUUGAAUCAUUGAUGUAAAAAAGGAGAAAAAUUGUACUAGUGUAUUCUUCCAUUCUCUUUGACAAAAAAAGAGUGGAGAAAAUCUUGCUAGCUUACACAUCUCAAGAAGCAAAAUAAUUGCUAAACUUUUGCAAAAGGAAGCAAAGGUGUUAUCUUACCCAUCUCAAGAAGCAAAGAAUUGCUAAACUUGCACAUUUCUAAAACUUGCUAUCUUGUAUGUUCUAAAGUGAUAAAAAAAACUUGCUAAAUUACUCGCUUUCAUAUCACAAAAAACUUCCUAGUUGCACUUCUCAUUUUUGUUGAUGAUAAAAGGGGAGAAGUUAUGAUGAUGAUUUGAAUUUGUAAAUCAUGUAUGUUAUACCUUGAUAAUUUGAAAUUAUGCAUAUGAUUUUCAUGAUUCAAAGUUUCUUUUAAUAUGACAUAUUGAUAAGGGGAGUUUAGUUUAAACUCUGUCAUCAAUUGUUUGACAUCAUAAAAAAUGAGGAGAUUGUUGAAUCUCAUAUUUUGAUGAUGAAAUCAAUUGAUGGGUUUACGAUCUUAUUUGUGUUUUGAGUGAUAUAUGACUAACUUCGAUCAGGAAAGAUAAAUUGAUUAAAGCGGGAGGAAUCGGACGUUGGGCCGGAGUGAACAUGUCCGAAGAUUGGACGUCGGCCGGAGAUUUGGUCGACGUGUCACCAAAAGGACUUCAUUGCAUGAGUUAGGGCAUCGGGCCGAAAGAUCGGACAUUGCGCCAAGGAGAUCGAAAGUUGCGAGAGUCAACAUGCUGAUUGGGCAAUACGCCAAAGGAGAGGAUGAUGCGCCAAAGGAUCGGACGAAGCGCUGGAUGAACCAAUGACAUAGCGAACAACAUAUGAUUCACACUUGUAAUCGAUUAUGUAUAGAUCAAAUUAGUUUAAAUCUAAUUGAGUCAGUUUUUGGGUAUAACUAUACUAACUCAAUUAGGGGGCCCAUUGGGCCUGAGUUGAGACUGUUUUGGACUAAGUGGAAGGCUCGUUCAUUGACCCAAGAUUAGGUAGAACCACUUAUAAGCAAAAAAAGUCAAGAACAUAUUUUUCUAGGUUGUCAAGUGGUGGUAUCGUUAGAUUGGGCAAUGGUACCACCUAGUGUCAAUGUGUUAGGUAGUGGUACAAUCAAUCUGGGCGAUGGUACCGCCCAGAAAGUCUCCCAGACUAUGUCAAGCAAUGGUACCUAUUGAAUCUCGAAUUUUGAUAAUGAAACCAAUUGAUAGAGUUUAUGAUCUAAUUUGUGUUUUGAGUGACGUAGGACUGGCUUUGAUCAUGAAGAGACAAUUAAAGAAGAAAGAAUCAAUGUUGGGCUAGAGUGGAAUAUGUUAGAAGAUUAGACGUUGAGCUGGAGGAUCGGUCGACGUGUCGUCAGAUAGUUUCAUGCCAUGAGAUCAGCCAUCGGGCUUAGAAGAGUGGACAUUGCACCAAGGAGAUCGGAGUUGCGGAGGUCAACAUGCCGAUUGGAAAAAAGGCCACAAAAUAUGAUGAUCCGUCGAAGGAUUGGGCGAAGCAUUGAUGAACCAAUGACAUACCGGACAACACGUGAUUAAUGCUUUGCAAUAAUUGUCUAGAUCGAAGUAGUUUUAGUUGUAAUUGGAUUGGUUUAGAAUGUAAUUAAGCUAACUCAAUUAGGAUCCAACUUAUCCCAAAGUAGGAUCGUUUUGGGCCAAGAGAAAGGCUCAUUCAGUGACCCAAAAGUUAGGUUAAGCAAUGGCACCGUUGGUCUAGGCGAUGGCACUACCAAAAGCUCAAUCUCCAAUAUACAAUCUCCGAGACUAUGUUAGGCAGUAGUAUCGCCAGAUUGGGCGGUGGUACCGCCAGAUUGGGUGGUGGUACCGCCCAGUGUCAGUGUUGUAGGCGAUGGUAUCGCUAGGACCCAGGAAACCCAGAAUGAGACCUUUUUUGGCUCCAUUUUUAAAUUCCUAAGCUAUUCCUGCUUGGCAUAGAAUGAAUUAGAGUAGAAAAUGGUUGUUAUUUUGGGUUAUAAAUUGCUGAGUGUCCUCCUCCUCCCUUUCUAGUUUUGAGAUCAUUCAAGAGAGGUAUGAGGCUCGUAAGGGUUGUCUCCUAAAUUCAUGAAAAGGAGAAAAAGUUGUAAGAGGGUAGUUAGUCUUUGCCCAUUUGAGGAAGACCGGUAGUGGAAGCCAAUGGCCUCGAGUGAAGAGGAAUCGGGAGUGGAUGUAGGUCACGACGACCAAACCACUAUAAAAUCUAGUUUGCAUUUGCUUUAUGCUUAUCAUUUAUAUUGCAAACUGAUUACUUACUACUUUCACUAUACUUAUUAUGCUUUCGUACGUGUUUUCAAGUUAACAUCUUUCCAAUAUGGAUUUCAUCGAACGAAGUUUUCAAAUCAACGUAAGUUUUACAAAAAUACUAAUUCACUCCCCCCUCUUAGUGCCGUAUUGAUCCUAACAAUAUCGUCUAGACAUAGUCUCCCAGACUAUGUCAGGUGAUGGUACCACCCAAUGACAGUGUUGUAGGCGGUGGUACCACCCAGCACAAGCAGUGAUACCGCUAGGACCUGGGAAACCCAGGAUGAGACCUUUUUUUACUCAUUUUUUAAGUCAUUUGGGGUCUAUAAAUACCUCACUCUUUCCUACUUGGGUAAGUAAGAAAAAAGGAUAGAAAGGGGGAAAGAAUCAUCGAUGAAAAAGAGUUUAAAAAAUCUUAAAAAGUGCUGAGUGUUCCCUUCUACCUCUUAGAGUUUAGAAUUCAUUCUAAGAGAAGUGUGAAACUUAUAAAGGUUCUCUCUUGAGCUUGUAAAAAGGAGAAAGAGUUGUAAAUGUAGUUGAUUUUCGCCCGUUGGAAAGAAGAUUAGUAGUGGAAGCUAGUGGUCUUGAGUGAAGAGGAAUCGAGAGUGGACGUAGUGUCAUGGACAAAGUUAUAAAUAGGAUGUUUGAUGUAAUACUUAUAUAUGUCCGUGUCUUUUGGUUUAUUCAUGUUUUGCAUAGCAUAUAGAGGGAUGGUCGAAGGCUUAAAAACCCUAUUUUAGUUGGGUUUGGUGGCCUUCUUAGGCUUGUAAAUAAAGGUUGUGUCAUGUGGACACUUGUGAGAUAUAUUCGAUCUGUAGUGGACCAUUUUGACCCUUUAUUGUGCAACUAUUCAGAGCUUGUAAAGUUUAUUUGUAAUUUGUAUUGUCUAUGAAGUGUUUCUAGGAAUGUUUGCUUGUGGAUCCCAAGUGAGGUGCUUUCUCUAACCCAUUUUCUCUUUUGUAGGUCCUAAGGGACCAUGGGAGGUUUCAGGGCAGCUAACCUUUGCGGACGGACAUGCAAGGGUGUCGUACAACUUAGGCAAAACCAGCUAAGUCCGUGAUAGAUGGUAUCAGAGUGGGACAAGCACUCAUAGAAACACUUGGCAUGCAAAUGUGGGGGACCUAACGAGGCUGCGUUGAGGGCAGUCAGCACAUGCGCGAUCGUUUGGAGGAAAACGAGCAUGGAGAUGUAGGGAAAAGGAGUUGCUCGGAGGAGUGGGCAUAUGAGAUUGGCAUUCUGAGGAAUGGCCAACCCUUCACGCAAGAGGAACCACGAGAACAAGCAAGCUUGGAAGAAUGUGGAGCGCACAAAGGUUGGGAUGGCUGAGUUCGAGCUAUGACUCGACGUUGACAAUUAUACUUGAUGGUGCUCAAGGCAAGCGAGGCGCUUGGUAAAGGAUGAGACCAUGCAAGGUGGAAUGAGUUGCUCAACGACCGAACAUGUUGUGCAAAGCUCACAGAGGUGAGGGAAAUUGCUAACUCGAAGAAUUCGGUACUCAUGCAUGGGCUUGUAUGUAGACAAUGUAAUAUUUACGGCCAUCCUAAGGCGACCGAAACUCGGCGUCAUGGAGCAUUGAAACUUUCUCUUUGGCAUGUAAAGGAUACGUCCGUAGGAGGCUGAAGUGUGUAGCGAGUUUAGCAUGUUGCUAGGCCUUGAGUGGUGCAACGGGGGCUGUAUUGACAUGGAGUCGUAAUUUAGCAAGUGCAUUUGUAGGAGGCAGAACAAUGCAUAGUUUAUUCAGCAAAUCAGAGUAGUCCGAAGGGGAUGGUGGUCUCUGAAACUUUCAAAGAGAAAGAAGCGAAGAGAGAUGUUGCUCCAACGGGACAGUUAUCCAGGAGGGAUAGAUCCUGGUUUUUCUAAAGGAAGAAUUAUGUGCAACAGACCGCACAUGUUAAGGAGGAGUAUCUCAACAAACAACAACUCCACGAAGCUCAAUGGACCGAGCAAGUGGCGAGGAGUCGUCGCAUGAUCUCGCUUGAGAGAAUGCAUUGGUGGAUGCAUUGCGAGAUCAAGUGGGGAAGCAACCCAAAGCAAUACAAAUGAAGGCACACUUGAAGUCGAUAUGGAGAUUGGACUUAAGGGAGGGCUGACCCGUGGAAUGGUGGGCGCGAGGGCCACCAUCAACUCAAUGAAAAAAAAAAAAAAACUAAGAGCGGAGCAACUUGAGUGUAACUUAGUGAAGUACCCAAGUCGCAUGAAGGGAGCCAACAUAGAAGAUGAAACAUAGAGCGGAGGUACAGUGAUUUCCUUGGACAGAGGUUAAGGACAUGAACUCUUGCAGAGGCAAGAGCAGGAUCAUGUUGUUCCAUGGGUCCUUUAUUAUGACUGAGCAGACUCAUCUUACAUGGUGCCAAAGACGAAGGGAGCUUCUGGGCACGUGCACCUUAUCUCGGAGAAGCGUUUGAUGGAGGAACUAAGGCGACUCAACUUGCGGAGGCGAAGUUGGGUUCAGAAGGCCUUAGCACGAGACAAAAGGACGCAAUGGCGGGUACUCUUGAAGGAUAUGCCACAAUGUUGCCAUUCAAGUUGCCAUGAAGGAAGCGGUGUGCAGCGAAGAUUGUGCUGGUAGGGGCAAAGGCCCAGGAUCCAAACAAUGGUGCACCACUUUCAGCGAAGUCGAUGGACUUUGGGAGCUACUAGGCGACAGACUAUCUUAGAGUGAUGCUUCAUUUAGGUGUGACCCAAGAGCGGGUGGAUGAAGGUCGAUUGCCAAAGGAGCAAACAAAAUUGAAGGUGAAAGAGACCCUAUGAUGUAUUGGCAAAGACCACACAUGGAAGGAUCACAAUUCGAGUUCAUCCCACAAGGAUCAGAAUGCAAUAGAGAUAUCACUAGGAGACGACAUGGUGCAGCGGAUCAUGGUGGAACAGUUCGUGGCAAUGCGAUACACAUGACAUAGUCCCGUGAGGGACUAUAUCAUAUGAAGGUAUGAUUAGGAGCUAUUGGAAGCUCCACUUCGGUAAACAACACCACAGCAAGAAGGGCUAUGGAUUCAAGAAUUGAAGGUCAUGGUAUCGCACAGGCGGGUCUUCUGUGCGUGCAUCGAAUCUUGCACCAGAUGAAAGCCUUGGUUAUUAACAUAUGGGGGUUGUGUUCCACCGAGGGAAAAGUUUGAAUGCAAGUACCAGUGAGUCCCAUGGGAGGGACUUGAUCAUGCAGAGGUAUGAUUAAAGCAGCUGGAGAGUUGGACUGCUCCAGAGCCCAUAUUCUCUUAAGGGAGCCCGACAAGUCAAAGGACAAGGUUGAGUAAGCGAACAUUGCUACCAAGGAAGCUAAUGAGAACAAAAUCGAUGUAAACCCUACAACGUGAUGGUAGAGGCCAUGCAUGAGAGUUGCAGUUUGUCUUUCCAUCGACCAAAGGGAGCUGCUUGGAGAACACAGAGGUGUUGAAGUAUGGGGUCGAAAGGGGCGAGGAAUUGACGACGAGUCCAAAGGGACUUAGCUACCCAAAAUCAAGCAUCAACUAGAAUGGAGGUGGACUCGGAGGAGUGCCACAGAGACAUAUCCACAAAGACAUAUAUCUAUGGGCAUGGUAGCGCCAUGGUACCAUAGAGGCAGGACUUUCGUGAAAGUCAUUGAUCCUUUGUUCUCAUGGAGGGAGAGCGCUUGGUCGUGAAAGGGGUUGAUGAGAUGGAGCAUGCAAAGGCAAACUCUAAGUACCGAGAUAAGGUUGAAGGGCAGAGGCCAAGGAACUUCGUAAGAUCGGUGUCAACAAGCUUCUCAUCAAGAUAGCCGAAAGUGAAGGACUUCGGGUCAUGCAAGAGUGCACGACCAAUGAACGAAGCAGACAGUAUGUGGUGUUGUACCUUUGCUACUCGGUGGAGUAGGCGAUUGGGUUGAUGGAGAAGACGGUACAAUCCUAGAGGCCACCAAAUCUAUUAGAGAAUUAUUCCAAGUUGGGGUGAAAACUUUUUGUAUUCCAGAAGUUUGAUAGCAUUGAGAAGGUGAAUCACAGUAGCUAACUCAAUGCAAGGAGUGCAAACACUUCGAGUGCUUCAGAAGUGUGGGCAAAGAGCAGGCGAAGGUCAGUAACCAGCUCGAUGCAUGGAAUACAACUCUUGAAGAGAUGGGCGAAGUCAAGUAAUCAUUGUCUUCUCAACUCUUAAGAGAAUGGGUGAAACCAAGUACCCCAAUUCUCUUAUCUAUCCAACAGAGGAGCCCUGCACAGGUUCAAAGACCAUUCGAAGAUAAUAGUUGUCAAAUCCUCAUCAAUGGUGAUUAGUGCUAUUGAGAGUAGAUUAUCCGCUUCAUUUCCCAAUAGAAUACUAAUCGAAAGCAGAAGUGAUAUGAAUCUACUUGGAAGUGACAACUAAAUGAAAGAAGAGUCGAUAGACAUUUUGUGGAGAAGGACCCAAAACUUCGAAAGUUUACGAGGCGAUGCUCGUUAAAGCUCCAACAAGCAUCCACCCAGUUCAAGCAGCAUGUUGUAUUUGAGAGACUAGCGUAUAGUAAGGAUGGUCUUUUCCUUCAUCUAGAGGAUCCGUAGGAAUCAACAAGGAUCAACACAACUCAGCCAACCUCACACUAGAGUCAAAGUCAUUGGUGAGUUGAAAUAGGAUAGCAGAUCAAAAGUUCGACUACUCAACAACAGCAAUAGAGAGCAAUUGGGAGCCAAGAGGUGUAUUGCAGCUGGUGAAGAAAAUUGAAGACUCAGCAAAGGCGAGGAGUUAUAGUGCUGGCAAAAGGCUUCGACAAGGACAUUAAAUGAAUAAGUGGGGGAGAAUGUCAUGGACAAAGUUCUAAACGUGAUGUUUGAUGUAAUACUUAUAUAUGUCCAUUUCUUUUGGUUUGUUCAUGCUUUGCACAGCAUGUAGAGGGAUGGUCGAAGGAUUAAAAGCCCUAUUUUAGUUGGGUUUGGUAGCCUUCUUAGGCUUGUAAAUAAAGGUUGUGUCCUGUGGACACUUGUGAGAGAUAUUCGGUCUGUAGUGGACCAUUUUGACCCUUUGUUGUAUAACUAUUUAGAGCUUGUAAAGUCUGUUUAUAAUUUGCAUUGUCUAUGAAGUGUUUCCUGGAAUGUUUGCUUGUGGAUAUCGAGUGAGGCGCUUUCUCUAACCCGUUUUCUCUUUUGUAGGUCCUAAGGGACCAUGGGAGGUUUCAGGGAGGCUGACCUUUACGGACGGACACGCAAGGGUGCCACAUGACUUAGGCAAAACCAAUUAAAUCCGUGAUAGUAGGUCAGAACGAUCGAACCACUAUAAAUCUGCUAUGCUCUUUUCCUUUGUUGCUUACUUUUAUUGCUUAGCUACUCACUUCACUUUAUAUUAUUUUAAGUCAAACUUAAACACUUUCUAAUACGGGUUUUAUUGAAAUGAUUUUAUUGAAUGAGAUUUUUGAAUCGACAUAACUUUUACGAAAGUACUAAUUCACCCUCCCCUCUUAGUGUCGAUUUCGAUCCUAAUAGAUUGGAUUCUCAUGCCAGCCUUUAGAAUUGAUGAUACCAUGCUAUGAUAAUAUGAACCUUGAGUUGUGUGUGCUAAAAUUUUAUGGAAGUUAAAUCAUUUUAAAAUAGUCUUACCAGUAUCUUGCUUCUUUUCCUUUAUGUUAACAUCAUCAAUUAUUGUCUGUUUAACUGAUUAUGGAAGAUAGGCUUAUGAAUUAAUACCAAUAACUUUAGGUGCUAAUCUCUUGCUAAGUCUUCUCAUGAAAUCUCAUAUGUUAUCCUACCUCAUGCUACAAAUCCUACUCAACUAAGGAGGAGACACAAUUGGUUGCCUCGGUCCUCAUCCGGAAACCCUAUGGUCCAAACCCACUACCAUAAUCAUUUUCCUAUUUUUAGUCAAGUCAUUGAUAUCUCAUUACCUCAUACAUACAUUAAUUUCCCAAUAAUGCAAGGAUAUCAACUGUAAGAUGUAGGUGUACAUCAUCAUCGUGACCCUCAUAUUGACUUUUUAUAUUGUAACUUCUCUUAAAAUGUUGUACAGAUACCCACCAGCUAAAUAUUGUUUUGGCCAAGUGAUUUCUCCAUCCUGACCUGGUCACAAUGAAUAUACUAUCAAUAAUGAUGGUUGGUGUCUAAAUGACAGACAUCAUUCCAAGCCUGAUCAUAUGUCUGUUCCUUUGAUCCCAUUUACUUAUAAAUAUUUAUCAAAUUAACAAACUAUAAUUAACCCUAUUUACCCUUAAAUUUGAAAUAACAAGUUAUGAUUAUGUCUAAUUAACCUAAUUUGGCACUAAAAAUAUAUGAUUGUCUAAUUAAUGAUUGAUCUUAGUCAUCAUUAACGAGAUAGAACAGGGCUAAUAUGGAUCUACUCAUCAUUAAUAUCACUAAUUAUAGAUUAAAAAUAUAAUUGUAACUAAUUAGCCAUAGUUUGCAUCUAAAAAAUGUGAAUGACCUAAUCACCAUUAACUAGAAAGAAUGGUACUAGUAUAGAUCUAAUAUGGAUGUGAUCAUUAUUAAUGUCACUAAUCACAUAGUCAAAAAUUUAUGAUUAUAUCUAGUUAGCCUUAAUUUGGCACUAAAAAUAUAUGGUUGACCCUAAUCAUAAUUAACUAUAUAUAAUAAUACUAAAAUAGAUCUAAUCAUCACUAAUACCACUAAUCACAAAAUUAAAAAGUUAUGAUUAUGUCUAAUAGCCCUAAUUUGUAUCUAAAAACAUGUGAAAGACCCUAACCAUCAUUAAUUAGAUAGAACAGUGCUAAUAUGGAUGUAAUCAUUAUUAAUGCCACUAAUUAUAUAUUUUAAAAGCUACAGUUAUGUCUAGUUAGCCCUAAAUUGAUACUAAAAUAUGUGAUUGACCCUAAUCAUCAUUAACUAGAUAGAAUGCUUCUAUAAUGUAUAUAGUAGGGAUCUAAUCAUCAAUAAUACUACUAAUAACAUAAUUAAAAAGUCAUAAUUAUGCCUAACCAACACCUUUGUUUUAAAAGAGGUACAACAAAAAAUAUAUCUGAUGAAAUUUCAAACUCUCAACAUAAGAGGAUCUGGUAUACCAACACCAGAUCAAUAUUUGAAGUGUCAACAAACUGCUAAGAAAUACUAUUAUGCUUACGUGAAAUCUACUACAGGUAAAAAAAUGUUGAACGAGGCUUCGAAUCCUUAAUCUUUGAUAAAUUAGUUUGAUACAUCACAAACAGACUAACAUUUAAGGUUUAAAAACUUAUUGAUUUAACUUUUAUAGAUCUUCACAAACAAUAAAGUAUUAAUUGGAUUGGUUGCAUAAGUUGGAAAGAGACAAUGAUUUGUCAAUAUUACAAAAAUCUAGACUUGGAGGAAGAAAACCUAGAAUUCGAUUCUACUAUGGAUUUAGAGAACAAUAAUGGGAAUGGAUAAAUCUAAAUAGCAGAACAAUAUUGGGAGUAGAUAAAUCCAUAUGACAAAGGGCGAGAACAACAAUCAUCUAUAUAUAGGAAAUAUGAUUAUCCAUCUAUACUUAGCUAAUACUCAAAUAUUUGAUGAGUAUAGUUUAAGAAUUUUAGUAAUUGCUCCUGUAAAUAUAUUACACAAAUUGAUUAAAAUUAAAUAUUAAAAUAAAAAUAAUUGAGCUUCUCCAUAAAGCAUAAGUAAUGUAUGAUCCAAAACUCUUUAAUAUUGAUGGAUCCUUGAGGCCACCUAAAUAAGCUUGAGGGACAUUAUGAAUGACUUUUGUAAUAAGUUUGGCUUGUGUCUAACUCUCGGUGCAUUCAUUGUCUCCGAGAUGUAGUAGGAUGAUAUGGAAACUCCUCUAUAUCCAUAAUCAUAUAUUCACAUUAUAAUAUGAGAGAUGUUAAUAACUCUAUUAUCAUGACAAACAAACACUAGGAAGAUAUAGUGUUAAAAAUACUCAAAAGAUGUAUAUACUAGAUAGUAUUAAAAAAAGUAUAUAAUAUGCAUAUUUUAGAUGGUCUUGAUAAUGUCUCGAAUAUAAGUACUUGAGACAUUAUAAAAGAGGCCCAAAAAAAUAUAUAUUUUGUGCCAUGUCUUCCUCCUAGAAUCAGUCAUCUCAAUAGAAUUGAACUAGUGAGGUUUGUAGAAUCAUGAAGGUCAUUUCUUAUGUGUUAGAAAGGCAUAAGAGGAGUUGACGAUUAGUGUUAGAGGAGGUCGGCGACAAUAGCAUUCAUAGUUAACAAAGUCAAUAGCAACAGAUGAAGGAGUGGAGUGGGGUGACGAUCAAUAGCAAAGAGUGCAAGCUAGGGGAGCAUUGGUGAUAGAGAGCAUAGGUUGAGGGCGAUGAUCAAUGAUAAGGAGUGCGGGCUGAGGGAGCAUCAGUGGCACAUAGCAUGGGCUAGGGGGCGAUGAUCAACACAAGGAGCCUGGGCUAGAGGGUAGCGAAUGGUGGGGAUCAUGACUAGGGGAUGGUAGGAAGUGUAUGCUAAAGAUGACGAUCAACAAUAAUGAACGAGUUGGGAGAGUGUCGACGAUAGCAAGAUGCAUAGGUGACCGUCACACGAGUUGUGAGGAAGGUAAAAAAAUAAAGAUAAAAUCAAAAUUAGUGAGAUUAUAAAUAAUAAAAUAUUAUUUUAUUAACUUUACAGAGAUUAUGAGCAGUAAAAAGAGUUGUCAAUAGUUAAAAAAAAAGGGCUAUACAGUAACCUUGUAAUAAAAGAGUCAUAGGACUUUGCUACCACUACAAUAAUUCAACUUGUUUUUUAUUACUAUAUGCCGUGUAUGAUUUGUUCACAAAUAAGAUAUAUGAGAGGUCAACGUCGGAACAUUAAUAACUCCCCUUUCAUUGAUGCUUCCAGGCCAUCAAAAUCCAAUAAUUCUAUGAUUUGCUUAUUUUCAAUCAAGUAAAUGAAGAAGUAAUAACACUGUAUUGUUCUCAAUUUAAUUGAAUUAAGUCGCCCGUGAAAUUAAUGUCAAAAAAGAUUGUGGUUGACGCUUGGAUAUUUUGGUUAUUGCUCCAAUCAUCAUUCGGCGGUAAGUGCACCAGAAGGUCAGCGGAUGUAAAAGCUGAAUUAGAAGGCGGGGGGCCACGACAGAAGCGGUGGGUUUGGGGGAAGGAAGGGAGGUUACCCACACCGUCCAGUGUAUGUACCGUGCGCCCAGAAGAGGUCGAGGGCGACGGAUCCGUCAUCGUCUCUCCGCCAUUUGAAAUAGAAAAGAUCACGAAUUUUUCUUUCUCCCUUCUCUCCCCCGCCGAACCCACUCGUUCCUCUUGAUCAUUGUUAUCCUUGUUCUUGCCAGAACCUGGUAUAUCUUCCCUGUCAAUCUAAUGCUUCCUCCUUUUAUAGUUUUCUCAGUUUUCCCUUGAUGAUCCUCGUAUUUUGUCUUGUUGUUGAUCUGAAGAGGCCGAUCCUUGAUCGAGCCACCAGAUUAGGGAUUUUGGCCCCGUGGAUUCGUGCUGCUCGUUUUGAUUUGCCAUGGCGGCUCCUCCUCCUAGGGCUCGGGCGGACUACGAUUACCUCAUAAAGCUUCUCCUGAUCGGCGACAGCGGUUAGGGUUUGAUUACUGUUUUUCGGUUGUUUCAUUUGGUUCGGUUGGUUUGUAAGGCGACAUAUCUGAAGCUUUAAUUUGAGGGUUUCCCUGGAUUCAUGACUGUGGUUUUGUUAAAUCUUUCCGAAAUGUUCCUUAUCAAGAACUUUAUUAGUGUCGGUGCACAGCGAAAAGAUAGGUGGAUAUUAAGUUUUUGAGAGUGACAAAUUGCGUUUCGUAGCUAAUGCCAUCAAAACAAUAAUUCAUUUGGUGACUAUCACUGAAAUGCUAUUAUUUUUUGCUAUACGAUGGAUAUUUUAUAUUUCCUCCAUUACUGGAGUGGUCAAUGUAACGAUCUAGUUUCUUGGAGGCACCAGGUCAUUACUUCGAUUCAUCAAAGGCUAUUUGUUGAACUUUUUCUACUUUAUUAUCAGAAUAUGCAAUAUCAGGUUGUUAUUCCAGGACCAUUUCAAACUACAUUUUCUAGUCAAUCUAAAUAUCUGGAGAUAGAUCAUUUGGCCUCAUUAGUAAACAUUACAUACUGACGAUGCUCAUUGUAAUUCUGGUGGAUAUCCCAAAACCUUACUGCUAUUUAUCUACUAGAAUUAGUGGUAUUUGAUAUGCUUAUGAAUCACUAGUAAAACAUAAAUCAUGGGUAUUCCAUUUUUUAUAUGUCAAGAAACUUGGUGUUUACAUUGUUUUGGGUUGGUAUUCUUUUCUGUGUAUAACGGAGGAAAAACUGGGUUAUGAUGGUUUGUUGCUAGAGGUGAAAGUGACAAUCUCAAGAAAACAAAAUUUAUCAAACGUUGGAGCCUUGUAGAUUUCUAAGAGCCUGAAGGAGUUUAUAUUGUCAUUUUGAGGAUGUACUAGUCCAUUUUAUGAUCAUGUUUAUUUCUUUUACGAUGUUUUUCUAUAUUCAUUUCUGAAAUUUGAGGCAUUAGAGAUUUACAGUCAUUACAUUUCUACUGUGUUCUAUAUCACUCCUCUAUUUGGCCUUGAUUGAAUCAUCCACAUUUUUAUUGAAAUGAAUUCUCAUUCUAACUAUUGCAGAGUCUAUUUGCUCAGUUCAGUGUAUUGAAUUUUGUGAUUGGGUGCAUAAUUUAACACCAUGGCAUUCAAUAGUUUUUGAAGUCGACCAUUUCUGCUUUAUUAAUCUGACUUGUGUAGUUUUGACUUGAGUUUGACAAAUGGAAACUUAGUAAAGCAUAAACAGAUUAGUAAAUUGAUCUGCAUUCGGGCAUUAACAUUAGUAGCAUGAGCAUCAAUUGAGUUACUCAUCAUUUCAUUCAGGGUUUUGACAAAUACUCGUUUAUAGAAAACAUGAAAUCUUUUGUUUUAUUAGGCUUUAAAUUCUAGUAAACAAACAUUUCUUCUUAAGAGUUUGCUUUUGCACACUCAUGAUCUACAAGUUCAAACUUCUAUGCGGUAGCAUCUAUGUUACAUAUUCUCUUUGACCAAAAUAAGCCAUCUAUGAUCUUCAAGACUCUGAGAGUAGUCUAUCUUUUCUUGUCGAGUUACUCAUCAUUAAAUUUGGGGUUUUGACAAAUUCUCAUUUAUAGGGAACAUGAAAACUUUUGUUUUAUUAGGCUUUAAAUUCUAGUAAACAAACUUUUCUUCUUAAGACUUUGCUUUUGCACACUUAUUAUCUACAAGUUAAAACUUCUAUGCAGUUGCAUCUUUGUUACAUAUUCUCUUUGACCAAAAUAAGCCAUCUAUGAUCUUUAAGACUCUGAGAGUAGUCCAUCUUUUCUUGUUUCUCCCAAGGGCUGAUGCACUCCCUAUACAAACACCUUGAAAUGCAAGGAUAGUAAUGCAGUUUAAAUUUAAGACAAUUGGAGUAGCAACUGAAAUAGAUUAUGGACUUAAAAGACCAAAUAAUAUUUUCUUCAAAUAAAGAACAUUCACAAUGAAUUUAAUUAAACUAGUUAAGUAAUCUGUUAAUUGUUUCAAUAAAAUAACUCGUACCAAAAAUACUAUAUUAUUUCAAGGAAAAAGUAAUGUUCUGUUUAGGAAUCUGUAAUAGUCAUUAAUCUCUUAUCUAUGAAGCAUUAUGUGCACAUAAAUUUAAAGCUAAAAUUCUUAAAGAAAGUGCCUUCGGUUAGGAGAUUAAUUUUGAUAUUAAUGUGGUGUAGACCUUGCCUUAAAUUUGCCUAAGACAGUCAAGAAGGUUCUCCUCAAUUGCUUAUCUCUAUGAACCAAUCUCCUAUGACCUAAUAUAAGUGCCUUCAAAGCAUGGGGCAAUGUAUUUUCAAUAACAUACAAAAAAAAAAAAGAGAUGAUAGUAAAAUACUAUGAAAUGAAGAAAUUAGUAAUUGUAAAGAAAUCAAGACAUAGGACAAGGUAGAGCAAAGUUCCUUGCUUCUAGAGAGGCUCAAAAGCUGACCAUUCCCCCCCGUAAGACCUGGUUGCUACCCUUUUUAUUUAGUUUGGUCAGAAAACAAAUAGCAUUCUACUUAGCUGGUUACAGUUAGUAGAUAAAUUCAUCUCAAUUAAGAAAUCAAAACCAUCAAAUUUGGCCAUAUGAAAGUAAUUAUAGAUCAAAUAAUUGACCCAAUAAGAGAUAAAAACUUGCCAAAUAUGACCCUAAAAUGAAAAAAACAUUCUAUUGAAAGAUUUAGCUUCGAUCUAAUUGUCUCAAUUAGAACAUUAAUUAAAAAUAACAAUUGUGUGUAUAAUGUAAAAACCCCUACAUUUAAGUGUUAAAGAAAACCGAGGAUUGAAUCCUACUUGUACCAAUAUUUAUUAAUCAUUUUCCCGGUCCGAUCAAAUACUGAUAUAGCAUAUGGGUUAAUAUUGGUAAAGUAACAUUUAUUCUGAAUUUUUUAUUAUUUUGUAUAAUGAUAUUUAGCGUUCUAGGCCAACUGCCAUCUUUGAGUUGCAAGCUGUACUCAAGAUGAACCACCAUAUUUGUUCGGUUUUCUUUUGAUACUUCAUAUGUCAGAGAUAAUAAUUGCCUUGAUAAAUGCUUGAAGUUGAAUUGUCCUUAGUUAGUUCUGGUUUUAUAAAUAGUACCUGAGCCUUCAUUACUUCGCCAUUGCAUACCUUAGGACGUUUAAGGACAAAUUCCCAACCUUGUCACUUCUUUAGUUCUUAUUUUUCUCUUGCUCGUCCUUUCUACACAUUGGCUAAGCCAUGGCUCCUGAGAGAGAUGAAUUCGAGACUGUGAUAACCCUUAGUUGUUAUACUUGCCAAACCCUUCUAGUUUUUGAGGGGUUGAGUAGUUCAUUUCUCUCUCUUCUAACCUUGAGGGACAAGAAGCCGAGGUAGCUUCUCCAUCCACCUUAGCAAGGAACAUUGACCUUGGGAUAAUGAGCUCCUCCUUCACAGGAUGUCUAUCCUGAGAAGACACAUGUAUAACACAGGAAGACCUGCAAAGAUUCAGGAUAAUUUUUUUUAUUUCUAUUAAGGAUGAACUAUGUUACCUUGGUCUAGUACUCACCCAUGUUUCCAAGUACAUUACUUUCUUUGUAUAAACUAGGAUACCUUGGAUGUGAGACUUUGGUUUUUGCAUAACCCUUUUAUAGUAGAUUGCUUUAGGUUGAACAGCUCUAUUUCAGAUAGUGCUGAACUCAUGGCGUUAUGUAGAUAGUAUUUAUCAAGGAGUGUUAAUUUAACAUCUUCUCGACCUCAAAACUUUUUCAAGUCUGCUUUAGAGUGUGUCAAGUUAAUAACUUGCAUUAUAUCUUAGCUCUGGAGGGUAUAAAAUAAUGGACAAUGCUAGAAGCAAUGAUACAUCCUCAUUGGAUAUCGGAAGGGCUAUCUUUCAACCAACCACAAAUCAUUGGAAUGACCGAUCUACAGAGAGAGCAGGUUGAAAGGUUUGUCGAUGUUUUUUCCUUAGCCAUUGUAUAGAUCAAUGAAGUUUGGCUUGUCUAUGGUAGGUUGAGUCAAUAAGAAGUGUCAAUACUUUAUGUUGCUAGUGUAUCUAUCAACACUUUGUACCCUUCAUCUGAGUAGGGUCCUAAAGCCAAUUUUGAUAUCAUUUGAUCUUGUAUACUCUAUCUUAGAUACUUGCUUGUUCUCAAAGUAUUUUAGUACAUCAGCUGACUCCUUUAUCCUCUGUAAAUACUUGAUCUUGGUUCUCAGGCUUUAUGAUUUUCGAGGACCUAAUAUACUAUUAGUUGGGAGUGGUUAUAAGCUAUCAACUCGGAAAUGGAUAAUUCUUUUGCCAACUUCAAGUCUGUAAUAAGUGCCUUGUAUCGAUAGUGACUUUGAAGUCAAACUGAAGUGCAUAUUCUAAUAUCUAACUGAUAUCAAUUUGGCUUCUCCUUGCAGCCACUAUAAGAGAAUACAUUAGUUUUUCGAUGGGCAAGUAGCAUUCUUCAACCUUUUUUAGGGCAUGCCAACAUGGUUUACAUAAUAGAUUGGUUUCCGAAUUUUGUCACAUCUCUGAUUAGCAUUGAGCUUGCAACAUCAUCUUUUGUAGAUAGAUGAAGAUACAACUCUACUUUGGAAUUUAAAUUUGCUAAUUGUGAAGGUGAUUUUAGAUAGGCUUUCAAUUGGUUGAAGGCUUUUUGACAUUGUUUACUCCAUUAAAAAUCUUUGAUUUCUUUAGUGUUGGGUAAAAGGGAAGGCACCUAUCCGUGGAUUUAGGCAAAAACCAGCUGAGAGUUGUAAUGGCACCGACCCUUGGUCUCUACUGCUCAUUGUUGCCUGCAUGCCAUUAUCUACGUGCCUAUGCACCUGUUGCUCACUCUAGCUCACCAGUCCUCGAUUGCCUCCUCUUCUUCUUUUCUUCAUCAUCAUCUCCUUCUUCCUUGUUCCUCUUCUUCUUCUUCAUCAUCUCCUCCAGUGUACCGACAUUUGGUACAUCAGAUCAGAUCAGACUUGUACCAUUCGACCAUGGACUGACAUGAGUCUGAUAACCAAAAUUGAAUUCCUUGUAAUAGACAAACUGUAAUAGUAUAUCUCUUAACCUUUUUUAUGUUGAUAUAAUAGAUUGAUCACAAAUCAUAUUUUGAGGUUUUUUGAUACUUUUAUAUUGUAUGUCUAUGGACACAUGUUGAUAUUUUGGUAUGAUAUCACUUUACAUGAAACUUGUUGCAAACUCUCUUGGAACGUUUAGUGCCUGUAUUUAUGUUAUGGUAAAUUAUUUGAUUUGUUUUGUAGGACAUGAUUUGACAUUACUGCUGCCCUUAAGACUUGUACCAACUUCAUAUCACCCUCUUUUCUUGCUAACCAUCAUAAUGACCCAUCAUUUCUGCCUACUAUUGCUUAUUAUACAUGUGCUCGAUAUGCAGUUGUAGUGUAGAGAGGUGCAUAUAACUUUUUAAUUUUUUUAUUAGAGUACCCAAGAAUAUCAGGCAGCCAGUAUAUUUACCCAUGUACUGGAACAGUGACAGUCCAAUAGGUAACCAUAACCGUCAUCAGACUGGUAUUUAAAAUCUUGCUAUAAGGUAAAAAAGUUUGUCAUUUUAUGAUACGAUAUUUUUUAACACACAUGAAUAAUUGAUUUAUCAAAUUAUUUUACCUUUAGUACAGUGAUUUCAAUAGGCGCUCGGGCCCUCGCCUAGGCACUCGGGCAAGGCGAGGCCCGAGCAUCUCGCUCGAGCCCAGGCACCGGGCGCUCGCUCGAGCCCAAGCACCGGGUGCUUCGGGCGAGUGCCCGAGUUAAACCAAGCGAUCGAACCAGCGUUUUAGGUCUGGUUCGGUCUCCGAUGCUUUAGUUGGUUUAAUCGAACCAACUAAAGCACCAAUAUCAACCUUCCUCUCGCGACUUCCCAACCCUAACCUCGCUUCCGCUCCUGCUCCCACUGCUUGCUGCUAUCGCUACCGCUGCCACUAUCGCUGCUUGCCGCUCCCGCUCCCGCUCCAGCUCCCGCUGCCACUGCGUGCUGCUACCACUGCCGCUGCCACUGUCGCCGCUCCCGUUGCUUGCUGCUGCUGUCAUUAUCGCCGCUCGCCGCUCCCGCUCCCGUUGCCGCUGCUCAUUGCUACCGUUGUCGCUGCCGCUGUCGUCGCUCGCCGCUCCCGCUCUCGCCGCUCCCGCUCUCACCGCUCGCCGCUCUCGCUGCUUGUCGCUCUCAUUGCUUGCCGCUCCCGCUCUCGCUGCUCGCCGCUACUGCUACCACUACCACUGUCGCCGCUCUCGUUCUCGCUGCCGUUGCUCUCAGGCAGCAGCCUUGGUCUUCCUCUUACUCACAUUCUUCUCACUUCGAUAGUAUACUGUUAAUAAUGUAUUAACAGUAUGCUGCUAACUGUAUACUAGUAACAGUAUUUUUAUUUAUUAGAUUAAUAAUAUAUUAUUUUGAUUUUAAUACUGUUAAUUUUUAUUUAUUUGAAAUUACUGUUAUUGUUUUGAAUUUUGAGACUUUCUGUUAAUGUGAUAUUAUGAUUUCACAAUAUUUUAGUAAUUUAAUAUCAUAUUUUUAUUUAAAUAAUUAUAUUUAUUAAUUAUAUUUAUUAAUUAUAUUAUAUAUUUUUAUAUUUUAGCGUUUGGCUUCGCUCAGGUGAGUGCCUAGGCGAGCGCCUAGCGCCUCGGGCGUUUUUGGACCUUGGUGUCUUUUGGCACCUAGCGUUUUUUAAAUCACUGCUUUAGUGGUGUUUGUUUCUAGAAGUCUUGGCAUGUUGCAUAUUAAACUAUAGCUUUUACCAUUACAUUGGGGCCAACACUAUAUACUUUUUGGCUAGCCCUAUGUCCCGGGUGUUUUACCUGGAACAAAACAGUCAUGCUUUUCCAAUUCCUGGAGGUGGAUGGAGCGUGAUAUGGCAGUAUUUUUGGGCAUUUAUUUUAAAUGGGAAGUUAUAAUGCUGUUAAGGAUGGCUGUCGGAUGGAAGUCUUGGUGGCCUUGAGAACUCUUACAACUACAAGUUGGUGAAUUCCUAUCUCUAGCAAAGUCUUGAGUUUGUCCAUAAUGUGCCUUAUUGGACGUCCUGAUUCAACUAUGACAGGUGCGAGGGGAUUGGAUGCAGAGGAAAACAACCCACCCUUUCCAGAAUAGGAGGGUGGGGUGUUGGUCACAAGUGGGCUGUAGACAACUCUUGUCUUUCAAGACAGGAGGUGGUAAGACAUCUGGACGCAUGGCAGUAUGUGGCUAUCAGCUGUCAAUCACUGAAGAGAUCGACUGUUUAAAGAGAGCAAGAGGUUUUUAAGGGGUAUUUAGGUCCAUUAUCUAAUGCAGUAUAAUUCUAUUAUGGAAAGAUUUAUUAGUAGCCAAUAAAAGAGCGCUAUUUCUGAACUGACAAGUUCUUUAUUGGAGUAAUAAAGUUAUACCAAAAUUUUUCUUCUUCUAUUCUCUCUCUGUUCUCUCCCCUUCCAUUGAAAAUUUCUCUUGAUAAUAUUUUCGCUCAAUAUAAGGUGAUAAUUACAGUACAUAUAUGAGUGGCACAAGUUAAAUUAGUAUAUCAAAUGCUCAAUGAAGAGCUUGGUUGUUGAGAUUUGAAACUUCUGCCAUUUUUAGCAGAAAUUAUCUUCUUGAGAUGCAGAAUGACACAAGUUAAAUUAUUAUGCUAAAGCAUAUGGUAUAAAGAGAACAGAUAUUAUUGUCACAUUGCAAACUGGCAAUGCACUUGGCUGAUGAGAUGUGAGAAGUUUGCCAUAAAUUAUAAAUUCCAUCUUCUUGAGAUUCUCUAAUUCUAUAUCAUGUUUCUUAGUUGAUUUUGUGCAACGUGAAAUGAUAAUUUUUAGGUGUUGGGAAGAGCUGCCUUCUUUUGCGUUUCUCGGAUGGUUCCUUCACCACCAGUUUUAUUACCACAAUUGGGUGGGUGUAGUUUCAAGGAAUGACAAUUUAUAUUUGCUUGUUUGUAAUUGGAUUCUUAAUCUAAUUUUAGUAGUGUUCUCUGGUUUUAAUGUCUAUUGGUUGAUAUUUGUGCAGCAUUGAUUUCAAGAUAAGAACAAUUGAGCUGGAUGGCAAGAGGAUUAAGCUGCAGAUUUGGGACACAGCUGGUCAGGAACGCUUUCGAACUAUCACAACUGGUAUUUUUCUUAUUGCUUUUGAUGUUGGACUAUGUGCAAUAUAUGUUGUCUAAACUUUAAUAUGGUAACCAAUUCAUCAUUUUUUUCCUUUCAGCUUACUAUCGAGGGGCUAUGGGCAUUUUGCUUGUGUAUGAUGUAACUGAUGAAUCUUCUUUCAAUAGUAAUCAUCUUCUUUGUACUCUCACUUGAGUUCUGCCUUUGCUUGUUCUCUUAUGCUGCUUUCCUCUGUGCAUGGUAACACACAGACAUCAGGAACUGGAUUCGUAACAUUGAACAGCAUGCUUCUGAUAAUGUUAAUAAAGUUCUGGUUGGUAACAAGGCUGAUAUGGAUGAAAGUAAAAGGGUAUGUUUUACUGGGUUCCACCUCCAAAAUUUGGUUUGUAUAUCUUUUAGGGCACUAGUUCAUCAAAGCCUUUGCUGUCUCAAGAAUUCUUUCUAAAAAUCAUUUUUGUUUCAACUGAAUUGUUCCUUGCAGGCUGUGCCAACAUCAAGGGGACAAGCUCUUGCUGAUGAAUAUGGGAUCAAGUUUUUUGAGACUGUCUGUGUUCUUGCUGGAUUUGGCUAUGUGCUAAUUUAUGGUAAUUUUUUAACAAAUGUCUGAUAUGUUGCAGAGUGCAAAGACAAAUCUCAAUGUUGAAGAAGUCUUCUUUUCAAUAGCUAGAGAUAUCAAGCAGAGACUGGCAGAAAGUGAUACAAAAUCUGAGGUAGAAGCAACCUUUUCCUACGUCAAAAUAGCACGACUCCCAAGUGUGAAGAUAUAAUAAGUUAUCUUGCUGCAGGAUCGGAUGAUCAAGAUAAACAAACCAGAUCAGACCGCCGCUGACGGUACUGCUGCAGUGAGAUCAUCAUGCUGUGGUUCCUAAGGGAAUAAAUUGGUGGUGGUGGCGUUGUUUUUUGGCAGCAGCGACAGGUGGGUUCAAUGUUGCCUCACUUGGGAACUAUUUUGCUUGUUAUAGGUACACAAAAAAUUCAUGACAAUGAUGAUAGUGCUUGUAUCUCCAAUCCUUCCAUUCUUUGAAACUUUUAGCCAUAACUGUCUUCUUUCGGUAAGUGGGAAACCUAUGUACUAGUUAUAUUUUUGGGAUUUAUGGAACCCCUAUUCAUUCGUUGUGACUGUGUACUGAUAAGCUUUCUUCAUUGUGGGUUGGAUUUGUCACCUUAGGAUAAACUUAUGCUAGGUUGUUAAAAAAUUUCAUCUUAUUUCUAGAGAAUAUGGCAACAAGUGUUAUCGUUUAACUUUUAGAACAAGCUUAUUAAUGUUGGAUGACUUUGUCAGAUUUGUAAACAUGGGCUUUGUUUAGCUCUUCUAUUCUACAGUAGAUCCCAUGUCCUUAAUGUCUCAUUGACUACUUUGUAUUAACUCGAUCGAUGCUUAUUCUUUUGAUGCAUUUUUCAACAGUUCAAAAGGAGGACAUUAUUGUCGGUGGUAUUUCUAGAGGACUUUAUGUUAGCCAUUAGAAGCAGGAGGAAGCCAUGGUUAGCCAAGCUAGGGGUUCGGUAGGCUUGCAUUGCUAGGAGAAAGGCUUCCAUCCUGUGUUUAUGAUCGAGGAUAUGCCUGUUACAAUUUGUUCGAGUUUAAUAGAGUUUGGUUAAAGACUUUAUGUUGGCCGUUAGAUGGGUAGGAGGAAGCCAUGGUUAGCCAAGCUAGGCUUGGAUUGUUAGGAGAAGGGCUUCCAUCCUGUGUUUUAUGAUCGAGAAUGCCUGUUACAAUUUGUUCGAAUUUAAUAGAGUUUGCUUAACAUUUGACUAGUCAAUUUGAAGUGAUUCUGUCCUUAUUUUGUUACGUGUAAUACUGUGAGCCAAGUGUGGAGGUCCACUUGGGUUAGUCAAUUUUGUUAAAUGUAAUCGGGUGACCCAAACAUUGAAGCUCCAAUUGGCCAUCGUCUGGGUUGUUUUGAUGAGGGAGCAUUGGGCUGUUUUAUGUGAAGAGAUAAAACAGAAAAGAAAAAGAAAGAUACUAAAAGAGCGAGAGGAUAAGGGGAUGGCUAGAGGUUAAGCUUUGUUCCAAUCGCGAAAAGGAAAUUAAAAUAUAUUAGAAAUCAUUUGAUAUAUCAUUUGUUUAUAAUAGUUUAAAAAUAAAAUCAUUCAAAUAAAAAUAAAAAAAUUAUUAUAAUAUUUUGACCAUAAUGAUAAAAAUAUUAUAAAAUCUGAUUGAAAACAUUAUAAAUAUAGAAAGGAUAAUAGGGUGACCAAUUAGUUCACUAGGUUCGCCGUAGACAUGAAAUCAUCUUUUUUUCAAGAGAGGGAAGUGGCCCUUUUGGUUGGAAUUUUUGUUCGACUCUGUUGCUAAUAGUGACAUUGUGAUUUCACCUAUUUAGGCGUGGCUGGUUGCAACCUAUGGAAUCUCAUCUCCUCGGACAAAGUUGCAACCUCCUACGCAAGGUGGCUUGGAUAUGGUUUCUGCAAUCUCCUCUGAUGCCUUAUAUAAGGUACCGUGUGUGCAUUGAUCGAGUGAAAUGCAGAGAGGAAUAAAAAGAAAAGAGAGGAAGUGAGAAGAGGAAGAAUUGUUCUUUUGCUUCGUUUGGUUCCUCCCUCAUUUUUUUUCCCUUUGUGAUUUUCUCUUCCUUUAUUUAUCCGAUUAUAACAUAAUGUUGUACCCCCCAUCUUUUAUAUUGAAUGCCUUCUAACUUGCCUGUGAAUUUUUUCCUCAGGAUUUUACUAAGUUAUUAUACCUUGGUCUCAUUAUUUCAAUUGAUUUUUAAUCUUCAACUUUAUUAUUUUAGCUAGAUAUUGUUUCCUUGCAUCCAGUUUUACUUUUGUUCUUUUUUCCUAAUAGUAAUAUUAGAGCCAAAGCUUUAGAAAAUCUAAAGAUUGUGUUCACAACAAAUUAUGGGAGCCGAUUCAAGUAGGAAAACAUAUCAAGUAAAAUAAUGACUACAAAAUUUGAAGAAGUUAUAGAAGCAAUUUCUCUGUGUGGAAGAUGAAGUUGGGGGCAAUUCUAUGAACGGACAAUUGCUUAAUGAUAAUUGGAGAUAGUCCCAAAGAUUUUUAUUGACAAUAAAAGGUGGAGGAGAUGGACGACAACGUAAUCGUCAAAUUGCACAUGACCUGACGGACAAAAUUAUAUCAAGUAUCAUAGAGAAGAUAACAACAAAGAGAUAUGAGAUACUCUAUAGGACUAUAUGAAGCUAAAUCAUUUCAUAAUAAGAUUUUCUUAAAAGAGAAGGCUUGACAUUCAAUACCCUUAGAAUUCAUAACUAAUCAUAUUAAUACCCUUAUUGUUCUGUCAACUUUUUCCUAUGGAGCAUAAUAUUAAAGAGAUGUCCUAAGCUUUUUUGUCAGAGUCUAACUGAUUUAUAUGAUCAACUCAUUAUCAACCUGACCAACAUCAUAGUUAGUUUAGCCUUAAUGUUAUUGUAGUCGUAAUUCUAGAAAAGAAAAAUAGGUGCAAAAAUAAGAAAGAUAAAUUAGUGACAUUGCAGUAGGUUGAGGUGUUAUCUGUAAUGAGAGGAAGAUCAAUGAAGCAUUUCCCAAGUGGGAGCAACAAAUGGAGUAUAUCAAUUCCCUAAAAAAAAAAAAAAAUCAAGUGCUAUAAUUGUGGCAAAAUGAGACACAUUAAGGAGUGUUAGAAGAAUAAGAAGAAUGCAUAUAGAAAGAAAGGGAACAAUCAAGAAGACACUCAGAGUUGUACAGUCGGUACCUCAAACAAAGAUGAAUCAUUCUCGAAGGCAAAAGAGAUUGUAGAUGUCUGGCUAGUAGAUUUAGUAGUAUCUUGACAUAAUCUCUAUUAGGAUAAUAUAAAAUGUAGGGUUAAGGUUUAUUUUAAUUCUUAUGAUUUUAGUUGUAGACCACAUAAGCCUCUAUGGUUUACUUAUAUCUAAAAAUUUUUUUAUAUUUUUAAAAACAUAGUAUAUAAGUCCAUCCUGUUAAGUCUGAGUUAAUAUACGUUAUAAUCUACUUACGUGACAUAUUGACUCAUAAUAAAUUAUUAAUAUAAUUAUACGUAUAAUUUAAGUUUAAAAAAAUGGGUCCAUUUUAGCUCUUAUAGUUUUAGUCAUGGACUACUUAAGCCCUUAUGAUUUUGUUUGUAUCUAAAAUAAUCUAUAUAUUUUAAAAAACGUAGUAUAUAAGUCACUCUCAUCAAGUCUGAGUUGACAGAUUUAGAAUUUACUUAUGUGGCAUGUUAACUCAUAAUAAAUUAUUAAUAUAAUAAUAUAUGUAAUUUAUGUUAGACUCGUGAAUGACAUUGAGAGGGGGGGGAGAGGGAUGAAUUAGUGUUAUUAGAAACUUUUGACGAUUUAUGUAAAUCGAUAUCGAAAGUAAGCUUAACAUAAAAGUAAGUGUAAAGUGGAAUGAGCAACAAAAUUAGUAAGUAAUAAAGGUAAAUAGUAAAAAAAAUGAGCACACCGGAUUUAUAGUAGUUUAGUCGUCACGACCUACGUCCACUCUCGAUUCCUUUUCCGUCUAAUGAUCUUUUUUCAAUAGGCGAAGAUCAAGUACCCUUUUACAACUCUUUCUUAUUUUCAUAGGUUUAGGAGAGAACUUCUACAAGUCUUACAUCUCCCUCAAACAUAAUUCUAAGCUUUUAAAGAAGAGGAGAGGAACUCUCAAAAGAUUAUAAUAGAGUUUUCUCACUUAGAGUCACAAGCUUUUGUUCACAGUUAUUCUAUAAACCGAGCAGGGAUGAGUGAGGUAUUUAUAGGCCCCAAAUGACUUCAAAAAUAAAACAAAAAAAAGUCUCAUCUUGGGUUUUUGGGGUUUUGGAGGUACUAUCGUUAGUACUAGGUAAUAAUAUCGCCGAACACCCUUGCAUAGGUGAUACUACCACUAGUCUAAGCAGUACAACCACCUGACAUAGCUUAGAAGAUCGUGUUUGGGUGGUACCACUAACUAUCUGAGUGGUACUAUCGCUAGUUUGGGCAGUACCACCACCCAAUCAAUGCUUGAGAGAUUGAGCCUCUAGCGAUGCCACCUAUUGAAUUNNNNNNNNNNNNNNNNNNNNNNNNNNNNNNNNNNNNNNNNNNNNNNNNNNNNNNNNNNNNNNNNNNNNNNNNNNNNNNNNNNNNNNNNNNNNNNNNNNNNNNNNNNNNNNNNNNNNNNNNNNNNNNNNNNNNNNNNNNNNNNNNNNNNNNNNNNNNNNNNNNNNNNNNNNNNNNNNNNNNNNNNNNNNNNNNNNNNNNNNNNNNNNNNNNNNNNNNNNNNNNNNNNNNNNNNNNNNNNNNNNNNNNNNNNNNNNNNNNNNNNNNNNNNNNNNNNNNNNNNNNNNNNNNNNNNNNNNNNNNNNNNNNNNNNNNNNNNNNNNNNNNNNNNNNNNNNNNNNNNNNNNNNNNNNNNNNNNNNNNNNNNNNNNNNNNNNNNNNNNNNNNNNNNNNNNNNNNNNNNNNNNNNNNNNNNNNNNNNNNNNNNNNNNNNNNNNNNNNNNNNNNNNNNNNNNNNNNNNNNNNNNNNNNNNNNNNNNNNNNNNNNNNNNNNNNNNNNNNNNNNNNNNNNNNNNNNNNNNNNNNNNNNNNNNNNNNNNNNNNNNNNNNNNNNNNNNNNNNNNNNNNNNNNNNNNNNNNNNNNNNNNNNNNNNNNNNNNNNNNNNNNNNNNNNNNNNNNNNNNNNNNNNNNNNNNNNNNNNNNNNNNNNNNNNNNNNNNNNNNNNNNNNNNNNNNNNNNNNNNNNNNNNNNNNNNNNNNNNNNNNNNNNNNNNNNNNNNNNNNNNNNNNNNNNNNNNNNNNNNNNNNNNNNNNNNNNNNNNNNNNNNNNNNNNNNNNNNNNNNNNNNNNNNNNNNNNNNNNNNNNNNNNNNNNNNNNNNNNNNNNNNNNNNNNNNNNNNNNNNNNNNNNCCUAGAAGAUCGUGUCUGGGUGGUACCACUAACUAUAUGAGUGGUACUAUCGCUAGUUUGGGCAGUACCACCACCUAAUCAAUGCUUGAGAGACUUAGCCUCUAGCGAUGCCACCUAUUGAAUCUCAGAUUUUGAUCAUGAAACCAUUUGAUGUGUUUAUGAUCUAAUCCAUGUUUUUAAUGACAUAAGAAACUUCGAUUAGGGAGUGACAAUUAAAAGUAGGAAGAAUCAUGUUAGGCUGGAGUGGAACAUGUCAGAAGAUUGGACGUCGAGCCGGAGGAUCGGUUGACGUAUCGAUAGAAGGCUUUGGGCCAUGGGAUCAGGCAUUGGGCUAAGAAGAGUAGAAAUUGCACCAAAGAAAUCGGAGUUGCAAAGGUCAACUGGUCGAUUAGGCAAUAGGUCACAAGAGAGGAUGAUGCGCCGAAGAAUCGGACGAGGCAUUGAUGAACCAAUGACAUGCCGAACAAUAUUUGAUUAGCUUUGUAAUAAUUAUCUAGAUCGAAGUAGGUUUUAGACGUAAUUGGGUUGAAAUUGGGCCAACUAAAUUAGGGGCUAGUUGGGCCCAAGUUUGGAUUGUGUUGGGCUAAGUGAAAUGCCCAAACAGUAACCCAACAUAAGGAACCAUCGGUGGCAUAGUCUCCGAGACUAUGUCAAUGGUGGUACCACCUAAACUUAGUCUCCGAGAGACUGUCAGGCAGUGGUACCACCAGUCUGGGUGGUGGGACUUGUUAGGAUCAAGAGCGACACUAGGGGGGGGGGGGGUGAAUUAGUGCAGCGAAAAAUGCAAUUAACUUUUAACUUAGAAAGUAAUAGCAGUAGUAAAAAGGUAGAAUGGAAAUGAGCACACCGGAAUUUAUAGUGGUUCGAUCGUUAUGACCUAUAUCCACUUCUGAUUUCUUCUCCGUAUUGUUGAAUCUCAUAUUUUAAUGAUAAAACCACUUGAUAUGUGUUUAUGUUUUAAUCUACAUUUUGAGUGACGCAGGAUGCUUUGAUCAGGAUGAGACAAUUAAAGCAGGAAAAAUCAUGUUGUACCGAAGGAACAUGUCAGAAGAUUGGAUGUUGGGCCGGUGGAUCGGUCGACGUAUCGAUAGAAGGCUUCGGGUCGUAGACUCGGGCAUCGGGCCAAGAAGAGCGGGUAUUGUGCUAUGGAUAUCGGAGAUACGAAGUCAACUGGCUGAUUGGGUAAUAGGCCGUAGGAGAGGACGAUGCGCCGAAGAAUCGGACGGUCGAGAGACCAAUGACAUGCCGGACAACUUGGUUAAUUGCUUAGGAUUAAUUGUCUCGAUCAAAGUUUUGUUUUACAUGUGCAGGAUUAACUAUGAUGAAAGUAAGACAUGCAGCAGGAGUUGCACCGGAGUCAAGACUACGAUCACGUUGGGAGUUCGAGAGUCGACGGAAGUCCGGACAAUCGUCGGAGGUUCUAUGGGAACAAAUCCGAGAAGUCCAGGAGCUUGCCAAAAGAAGCUCAACGGAACUCACCAAGUGGAUUGUCGUAAGUCUAGGAGUUUGCCGGAAGUCCGCAAGAGUAUCACCGAGGGUUCAUCGGAUGAUCGACGGAAGUUCGCCGGAAGCUCGCCGGAAGAAGCGAUUGACGCACCGGAGCAAGUUGUAGUAAAUGUCUUAAGAAAUAUCGUAGUUAGCAUGAUGAUUAAGUUAGAAAUGGGAGGUGAUCCCAUUAACUUAAUCUUGGGGCAAUUGGGCCCUUGACAGACCCAAAUUGGGCCGAAUGGAUCAGUCUAUUCGGACCUAGAUUUCUUGGCCAACGGUGGCACCGCCCAGGGCUCAAUCUUCGAGCUAGGCUAGGCGGUGCAACCGCCUAAGCUCGGUCUCCGAGCUCUGCCAGGCAGUGCAACCACCCCAGUCAGGCGGUGGCACCGCCUAGGCUCAGUCUCCGAGCGAGACUGGGCAGUGCAACCGCCCUUGUCAAGCGAUGGCACCGCCCAGAGGCUUAGUCUCUGAGCUUUGCCAAGUGGUGCAACUGCCCUUGAUAGGAGGUGGCAUCGCCCAGAAGCUGUCUCCGAACUCUGCCAGGCAGUGCAACCGCCAGACCCUGGAAUUUCGGGAGAUGAUAGUUUUGAGCUCCAAAUUCAAACUGGUUUGGGGCCUAUAAAUACCCCUCUCAUCCCUACUUAAUUCACACAAGCACAGAGAUAUUAAAAGAGAGAAAACGUUGCUGCAAUCUCUAGAAUUUUCCUCCUCUAAAUUCUAAGUGUUAGAAUUCUGUUUAGAGAGGAGAGUGAAUGCUUGUAAGGGUUGUCUCCUAAACCCGGUAAAAUGAGAAGAGGGGUGUAAGAAGGAGGUUGAUCUUCAUAUAGUAAAGGAAGAUCAUUAGUGGAUGCCGGUGGUCUCGACGGAAGAGGAAUCGGAGGAGUGGAUGUAAGUCACGAUUGACCGAACCACUAUAAACUCCCGUCUUCUCUGAUUUGCAUUUUAUUUACUACUAUUACCUUACUGCAAACCCCUUCAAUAGCUUACUGCCUUCAAUACAUAUACGUAUGCUUUCAAGUUAAGUUUCCGAAAUCGGUUUUACGUCAGAAACAAUUUUUAUCGUACGAGAUAUUUGACGAAGUUGACGUUUUUAUCCGCUGCACUAAUUCACCCCCCCCCUCAUUAGUGCUCUUGAUCCUAGCAAGACUUAGUCUCCGAGAGACUAGCAGGCAGUGGUACCACUAGUCUGGGUGGUGGUACUUGUUAGGAUCAAGAGCAACACUAGGGGGGGGGGGGUGAAUUAGUGCAGCGAAAAAAUCAUCGAUUUUGUACGAUAUUCGUUCGUUGAAAACUAAUUUCGAAAAAUGCUUGACUUUAGAGUAAAUGAACUAGCAGUUCACUUAGAAAGUAAUAGCAGUAGUAAAAAGGUAGAAUGGAAAUGAGCACACCGGAAUUUAUAGUGGUUCGAUCAUUGUGACCUAUAUCCACUUAUGAUUUCUCCUCCGUCGAGGUCAUCAGCGUCCACUAAUGGUUUUCCUUCGAUGGGCGAAGACCAACCACCCUAUUUAUAGCACUUUCUCCUUUUCACGGGUUUAGGAGAUAACCCUUAAAAGGCUCAUACCUCUCUUGAAUGAUCACAACACUAGAAAGGGAGGAGGAUGACUUUUAGCACUUUUACAACACUUUUGACACCCCAAGACUUCAAGAUUUGUUCACACUUUCGUACCCUUUCAUGCAAAAGAGGGUGGGAUAUUUAUAGGCCCCAAUGGCUUUAGAAUUGGAGCCAAAAAGUGUCACAUCCCUAGAUUUCGGGGUAUUGGCGGUACCACCGCCUAACACUAUGACAUUGGGCGGCACAAUCGCCUGACAGAGCUCGAAGAUUGAGCUCUAGUGAUACCACCACCUGUCAGCAUUAACUACCAUCGGUACCACCGCCCAGCCCACCUAGGAGACUAGGUCUGCAGGCAGUGCCACCGUUGACCGUGACUUCAAGUGCUGAAUGGGCUAUUCAACUGGCCCAAUUCAACCCUGUUAAAGGCCCAAUUGGCCCUUAACUGAGUUAGUGGGAUUACUUCCUAAUCUUAACUCAACUUAGGGUCUAACUAUGAUAAUUUAAGACAUCAACUAAGCCAUCUUAGUCUGGUAUGUUAAUUGUUCUUUCAGCGAGCUUCUAGCAAUCUUCCGGCAAACUUCUAACGAUAUCUCGGUAAUGUUCCAACGGACUUUCGACAAGCUCCUGGACUUUAAGAUGAUCUUCUUAGCGAGUUCCGAUGAGCUUCUUUGACAAGCUCCUGGACUUCUCGGUAAAUUCCGACAGAACUUUCGACAAACGUCCGGACUUCCGACGAACUCUCAAACUCCUAAUGAAAUCUGGAUCUUGACUCCAGCAUAACAUUUUCUUUAUAUCUUACCGCUAUCGUAGUUAAUCCUAUACACUUUUCUCAAUAUAUAGAUUAGAUCAAAUAAUUUACCAAUUGAUUUCAUCAUCAAAAUCCGAGAUUCAACAAUCUCCCCCUUUUUGAUGAUGACAAUCAAUUGAUGACAGAGUUAACCUUAACUCCCCCUAUCUAUAUGCCAUACUUGAGAAAAGACAUUCUUAAAUUCAAUGCUUUUGAAUUCAAGCAUCAAAUCGAUAAGUUAUAUUCAUUUAAACUUAUCAACAUGCACAUCAAGAUACUUAUCAUGAUUUUCUAAUUUCAAAAUAUGAUACCACGUAUUUAUCAAUAAAAAUGAUGUCAAGACAUGACAUCUAUUUUCAAGUUCAAUAUAGAAGGAUGAUAAACAAUCAUCAUUUUUACGCAUGAUAAAAAUUUCAAAUAUGAAAAUUUCAAGAUUCAAGUUAAAAAAAAAAUGAUGAUUCAUCGAUCCGAGGCAUGAUUCCAAUUGUAAAUAUGAAAUAAAGCAUGGUAAUUUUGAUAUUUCAUUAUAAUGAUAGACAUUUAUCAUUUUGAUAUGAAAUCAAGCAUGAUACUAGGAAUAAAACAUUUAUAAGUAAUCAUGCCAUAUUUCGAUACGUUUCAAACAAAUAUUUUGAUAUUUUUCAAGUAUGUAUUUGACGAUACCAAUCAUAUUUCAAGCAUUCGCAAGACAUUCAAGCAUUUAUGAUACAAUAUAUUCUAUACAUUUAUUUAAGAUAUUCAUAAUGCCAAUUUGUUAUCAAUUUACCACAUUUCUCCCCCUUUAUCAUCAACAAAAAUGAGAACAAUUCAACAAUGCAAGUGUGAUAAAAAAAUCAAGAAAGUUUCCCACUAAUUUAUCCAAGUCAUAAAGGAAGGUAAGCAACAAAUUUUGCAUGAUAACCCUUUUCGAUAAGCUAAUAUUUUUACUCAAGGGUUUUUUGGUUCUUAAGUUUCAUUCUUUAUUUAUUAUAAGAAUAAAAAAACGAGAAAGAAAGGAAAGAAUCCAUUAAAAACAAAAUUUAUGAAAUGAUUUAAACCAAGUCAAAUUCAAAACAAUAAAUAAAUUUAAUUAAAUCAUGCUUCAAUUUUAGCAAAGAGACGGGAUUCAUGAAAAGGAUCAAGAUAUCCAUACGAAAUCAAAUCGCCAUUCUUGCAAGUAAUCCAGAUAUCUAAACAUUCAUAAAACUCUUCUUUUAUGAGAAGAGUAAGGAAGAAGCAUCAAAUGAAGGAUUAAAAAUCCUCGAAUAAAACUUCAUAAAUGAAAUCCGUUGCUCAUUAAAAAUUUACAAAAGUGAAAUGAUUAAGUGUAUAAAAAAUUAUUAAGUGAUGUAGCAAGGUUAUGAAGCAAAUUUGAUACCAAGUUAAGAGGAAGAUAAAGACAAAAUAAAUUCAUGAAAGCUCCAUUCAUGAGAUGGAAUAAGAGGAAGAUAGUUUGAAAGGAAAUAUAACAAACUCAUGCAUUCGGAUAAUUUAACAUUCCUAAUUCUCUUCUAAUAAAAUCAAAUUAUUCUUCAUUUAAAGGUUUUAUAAAGAUAUCGACUAAUUGAUAUUUCAUAUCAAUGAAUUCUAAGAUUACAUUAUGAUUAUUGAAAUGAUCUCGUAUAAAGUGAUGCAUAAUAUCAAUAUGUUUAGUUCUAGAGUGUUGAAUAGGAUUUUUCGUUAAACAUAUUGUACUUGUGUUAUCACAUUUUAUGAAAAUAUUCUUAAGAUAAAUUCUAUAAUCUUGUAAUGUAUUUUUUAUCUAUACAACUUAUGCACAACAUGCACUAGCCGCUAUGUAUUCGGCUUCGGUUGUAGAUAGUGCAAUCGAGUUUUGUUUCUUAGAAGACCAAGAGACAAGUGCAUGACCUAAGAAUUGACAUGUUAGAUGUGCUUUUUCUAUCUAUUCUACAUCCAGAAAAAUCCACGUCAGCAUAAGCAAUUAAUUCAAGCUCAGUUUGAAUUAAUAUUCAAGUAAUUUACCGUUACUACAAAUUGCUUUACUUACCUACUACUCUCACUAUAUAUACGAAUGAGAUUUUAAGUUAUCUUUCCGAUAUGAAAUCAAUUUUAAUUGAACGAAAGAUUUUUGAACUGACGUUGAUUUUAUCCGUUGUACUAAUUCACCCCCCCCGUCUUAGUGCUAACUUGAUCCUAACAAUUGGUAUCGGAGCUCAUUUUUCUUAUUUGUUUUAACACCCAAGAGAAAUGGCUCUUUUCGGCUUUCAAGAGGGUCACUCUAUCAUUUGUUCUCCUAUGUUCAAUGAGAUGGACUACACUUAUUGGAAAACUCAAAUGAGAGUUUUCUUGCUUUCGUUGAAUCUCGAAUUAUGGAAUAUUAUCGAAAAUGGAUUUCAAAAGUCUUCUCUUCCAAUGAACGAUUGGAAUGAUUUGGAGAAGAAGACUUUCUCUUUAAACACCAAAGCUAUGAAUGCUUUAUUUUGUGCUUUGGAUAAAACUGAAUUCAAUCGAGUUUCUAUUUGCGAAAUGACUUUUGACAUUUGUCAAACAAUUGAAAUCACACACGAAGGCACUAGUAAAGUUAAAGAUUUAAAAAUUAAUUUUUUGAUGCAUGAUUUUGAAUUAUUUCGGAUGGAACCAAGUGAGACCAUUGAAGACAUGUACACCUGGUUUACAGAUGUCGUCAAUGGUCUAAAAAUGCUUGGUAAAAGUUUUUCUAACCUUGAACUCGUUAACAAAAUAUUGAGAUCCCUUCCAAAGAGUUGGGAUCCUAAAGUAAUGGUCAUUCAAGAGGCCAAAGAUUUAAACUAUUUUCCACUUGAAGAACUUAUCGGGUUUUUAAUGAUCUAUGAAAUGAGUUAUAUGACACAUGUUGAACAUGGUGAACUUGAGAACAACCUUCCAAAGAACAAGAAGGAUUUGACACUUAGAAUAAAUGAAGACCACUCGUGCAAAAGCUCAAGUGAUGAUAACUUUGAACUUUUAACAAUAAAGCUUAAGAAAAUUUUAAAACAAGAAUUAAAGAAUAAAAAUAAACUUAAAAAGAAGAUGUUGCUAAAAAAGAAGAAGUCACUCAAAACAACUUGGGAGGUAACCAAAACUCUCUUAGUUUAUUUUAAAAUAACUUGGUGCUUUUCAUGAGUUUUUUUUUAAAAUUAGUUAGUAGAAAAAUAAAAAAAGCGACAAAAAAAUAUCAUGCUUCUCUUUCUAGUGUUUUAAAAAAUUUAAAAAAAAUUGAUCAUUGCAUCUUUUUAUGAUAAAGGAACAAAAUAUUAGAUUUAAAUCUAAUACUUGUACACCUAAUAAGAUUAAUACUACGUAUGUUUUUAAGAAGCAAUAAUGUGUAUCUUGAUGAUUUCUGUAUUGCUUUUCGAUUUUGAUUGAAUAUGCCUUAUGUUCAAUGAAACCAUGCUUGAUGAAUAUAUUUUAUGUUCAAUGACGAUUUUAAAUCUUGCUUAAGGAGUUUGUAUUUUGAAAUUAUGCAUGAUGAUUUUUAUGAUUUAUGGCCUUUGUAUGAAAGACUAGAGCAUGAAAUCAAUCACAAAAUUUGGAACUAAAAGAAUUUUAGCUAUUUUUUCUUAUAGGAAUCUAUACGUUGCUUUCAUUGAGUUUUUUGAAAAAUGAUUUUGAUGAUGAUUUUGGAUUUCUUUUCAUAUGAUUCAUUUUAAUAAUGAGAUGAUAUAUAUGUUGAAUCUCAUAUUUUGAUGAUAAAGUCAAUUGUAAUUUGUUUAUGUUGAGUUCAGCCCAUAUGUGGGCUUGGAUAAUUAGGCUUUUUGAGCCCAAAUCGAUAAUUAAAAGCAAAUGAAAAGGGUUUACUGUGAGAGCAUAGUGAGUGAACUGUUGUAUCUCGGAUUUUGAUGAUGAAGUCAAUUUUCCUUUGUUAUCUAAUCUAUAUGUUGAGAUAAGUGUGUAAGAUUAACUACGAUGAAAGUAAGACAUGCAGCAGGAGUUGAGCCGGAGUCAAAGACUAUGAUCAUGUUGGGAGUUCGAGAGCUCGACGGAAGUCCAGACGGUCGUCGAAGGUUCUGCAGGAACAAAUCCGAGAAGUCCAGGAGCUUGCCAAAAGAAGCUCGUCGGAACUCGCCAAUUGGAUCGUCGCAAGUCCAGGAGUUUGCCGAAAGUCUGUUGGAGCAUCGCUAGAGGUUCAUCGAAUGUUCGCCGAAAGUUUACCGGAAGCUCGCCGGAAGAAGCGAUUGACGCACCGGAGCAAGCUGUAGUGAAUGUCUUAAGAAUUGUCGUAGUUAGCAUGUAGAUUAAGUUAGGAAUGGGAGGUGAUCUCAUUAACUUAAUAUGGGGAUAAUUGGGCCCUUGACAGACCCAAAUUAGGCCGAAUGGAUCAACCCAUUCGGACCAGAAUUCCUACUAGGCAGUGGCACCGCUAGGGUCGGCGGUGGCACCGCCCAAGAGAGGGUCUCCCAGGAAAGUUGGGCAGUGCAACCGCCCCAGGCAAGUGGUGGCACCGCCUGGGCUCAGUCUCUAAGCGAGACUGGGCGGUGCAACCGCCCCUGACAGGCGGUGGCAUCGCUAGGGCUCAGUCUUCGAGCGAGACUAGGCGGUGUAACCGUCCCAGGCAGGCGGUGGCACCGCUAGGGCUCAGUCUCCGAGCGAGACUGGGCGGUGCAACCUCCCCUGUCAGGCGGUGGCACCGCUCAGAAGCUGUCUCCGAGCUGCCAGACGAUUGUACCGCCCUAGUUAGGAGGUGGUACCGCUAGGACCUCGGAAAUCCGGGAAGAGACAUUUUUGAGCUCCAAAUUUAAACUAGUUUAGGGCCUAUAUAUACCCCACCCUUUCCUGCAUGAAAGGACACCGAAAAUCCAAUCUUACUCUGUGAUUUUUAGAGCUCAAACGUGUUGUAAAGGCUAGAAGUUCUCCUCCCUCUUUUUCCAAGUUUUGAUCUUUCAAGAGAGGAGAGAAAAGUUUGUAAGGGUUGUCUCCUAAGCCCGUCAAAAGGAGUGAAACUGUAAAAUGGUGGUUGGCCUUCGCCUAUUGAAGGAAGGCCUCUAGUGGAUGUCGGUGACCUCGUUGGUGGAGGAAGCUAAAAGUGGAUGUAGGUCAAGAUUGAUCGAAUCACUCUAAAUCUCGGUUUGCAUUUACUUUAAGCAUUUUAUCUUUACUGCAAACCUCCUCAAUAGCUUACUGCUUUCUGCUCUUUUACGAACUCACUUUCAAGUUUAGUUUCUGAAAAUGGUUUUACGUCGAAAAUCGGUUUUAUCGUACGAACAUCAUAUUUUAGUUUGCGCUUAUAUUCUAAUAUCUGUCUUGACUACAAACUUCCUACCUUACUUUACUUCAAAUACAUUUCCAUAAGCUUUCAAAGUUAUUAUAUGUACGAAACGACUUUUACAUCGGAAUCAGAUUUUAACAUACGAACGUAGUUUUAAUCGUCGAAAGUUUUCCGCUGUACUAAUUCACCCCCCCCCCCCCCCUCUUAAUGCUCUUGAUCAUAACAAUUGCUAUCAGAGCGGGGUUAACUCUCAAAUGGAUUAAAACCCAAGAGAGAUGGCAUACGUUGGAAACCAAGAGGGCCACUCUAUUACACGUCCACCCAUGUUCAAUGGCACGGACUACACCUAUUGGAAGACCCGAAUUAGGAUCUUCCUUAUUUCAAUGGAUUUUGAACUUUGGAAUCUUGUCGAAAAUGGAUUUUCAAAGUCUUCUCUGCCAAUGAUUGAUUGGAAUGAAUAGGAGAAGAAGACUUUCGCUCUUAAUGCAAAGGCUAUGAAUGCCUUAUUUUAUGCGCUUGAUAAAAAUGAGUUCAAUCGUGUUUCGGUUUGUGAAACUGCGUUUGAUAUUUGACAUACACUCGAAGUGACUCACGAAGGCACAAGUAGAGUGAAAGAGUCAAAAAUCAAUCUGUUGAUACACUCUUUCGAACUUUUCUGAAUGAAACUGAGCGAGACUAAUGGCGAUAUGUACACCCAUUUCAUGGAUGUCGUCAAUGGUAUAAAAGGACUCGGCAAAAGUUUUUCGGAUUUUGAGCUCGUAAAUAAGAUUCUAAGAUCCCUUCCUAAGAGUUGGGACCCUAAAGUCACUGCUAUUCAAGAGGCUAAAGAUUUAAACAACUUCUCUCUUGAAGAACUAAUCAGGUCAUUAAUGACCUAUGAAAUGACUUGCAAGGCUCAUGAUGAGCAAGAAGACAUCCUUCCAAAGAAUAGGAAGGAUAUGACACUUAGAACUUUAGAUGACCACUUGAAAGAAAACUCAAGUGAUGAGAAUUGUGACGAUGACUUGUCACUUCUAACAAGGAAAUUCAAAAAAUUCAUUAAGAGAAAUAAGUUUAAAAGUGACACAAAAAAUAAACUUGAACCCAAAAAGGACCAAGUUAUUUGUUACGAAUGCAAAAAGCCGGGACACUACAAAAGUGAUUGUCCCCAAGCCAAGAAGAGAACAUCAAAGAAGAAGGCGCUCAAAGCAACGUGGGAUGACUCGAGCGCAUCCGAAGAAGAGGAGUCCAACACCAAGCAAGUUGCUCAUUACGCCUUAAUGGCCAUCGGAGAAGAGGUAACAAAUUUAAUUGAUGCAGAUUUAUCAUUUGAUGAAUUAUUAAAUGCCUUCCAUGACUUAUUUGAUGAAUACAAAAUAAUUAAUAGAAAAUAUAAAUUACUGAAAAAUAAGUAUUAUAGUCUAGUUAGCAAUUUUGAUAAAUUUAAAACUGAAUAUCACGAUAGUUUAGCUCAAUGUGAAAAAUGUCAUGAUCUAGAAACUCUCAAAAAGGAAAACUUGCUACUUAAGGACACCUUGAAGAAAUUCGAGGUUGGUAGCAAGUCUUUGAACAUGAUCCUUGCAAACAAGGGUCAAGUUCCCAAAAGAAGUGGAAUCAGAUUUGUGAGAAGUCCUCACCAAAAUCCAACCACCUUAAUAAAAGGUACUAUCUUACAUGUUCAACACCAAAGCAAAUGCAACUUUUGUUGCAAACAUGGACAUAAAACGUAUCAUUGUCCAUUCAAGAAAAUUAGUCUGAACAAACUGAUUUGGGUUCCUAAAGGAACCAUGAUAAACUCUAUGCAACAUAAUAAACAAUAUAGAUCAGUUUUUGAGGCACCCAAAAGUAAAUGGGUACCUAAAAAUCACCCCUUCUUAUAGAAACAUACACCAUCAAAAGCUAGGAGCAAGAGAUAAUAUCUUGCUUUUUGGGUACUCGAUCUUCAUGACUCGAGAUCCAAAAGAACACAUAAUUCUCUUUAGCCUAAAUAGUAAAAAGAGGAUUAGAAAAUUAAUAUUGCAGAGUGAUACUAAUACAAUCUUGUUUAAUCCCUCAGAUUUUGAAACUCAUAAUUCUCCCUUCAUAUACCCUCCGGAUUUCUUCUUUUGGGAUCCAACUAUAUCAUUGACUUACGUCUUGCAAGCAAAGUUUGUCAUAAACUUGCAAAACUUACCAACUUGGAUAAUAAGUCUUGAACAUGUCUAAAAUUCUGUAUGACAUUUAAAGUAGAGUAUGCGCGUCACAAGAUCUAUUUUGAACGUACGAAAUUUCUCAUCUUGAAAUGGAAACUCUUAUAUAAUUAUGAAAGUAAAGUUGAUUGCUCCACAAAUGAAACCUCUCCUCAAAGUUUAAAACAUCUAAAUCAGUCCAUACAGCCCCCAAACAAGUGCUCGUCGCCUGUAGGCGGUGGCACCUCCCAAUGGCGGUAGCACUGCCGGCUGUCACGGGUUGCAAGUGUUGAAUCUCGGAUUUUGAUAAUGAUGUCAAUUGUCAUUUGUUAUCUAAUCCAUAUGUUGAGAUAAGUGUGCAGGAUUAACUACGAUGAAAGUAAGACAUGCAGUAGGAGUUGUGCCAGAGUCAAGACUAUGAUCACGUUGGGAGUUCGAGAGCUCGACGGAAGUUCAGACGGUCGUCGGAGGUUCUGCGAGAACAAAUCCGAGAAGUCCAGGAGCUUGCCAAAGAAGAUCGUCGAAACUUGCCAAGUGGAUCGUCGCAAGUCCAGGAGUUUGCUGGAAGUCUGUAGGAGCAUCACCGAGGGUUCAUCGAAUGAUCGACGAAAGCUCGCCAGAAGAAGUGAUUGACGCACUAGAGCAAGUUACAGUAAAUGUCUUAAGAAAUUCAUAGUUAGCAUGAUGAUUAAUUUAGAAAUGGGAGGUGAUCCCAUUAACUUAAUCGUGGGGCAAUUGGGCCAUUCGGACCCAAAUUACUUGGUCAGAGGUGGCACUGCCUGGGUCGGUGGUGGCACCGCCCAGGGCUCAGUCUCCGAGCUAUGGCUGGGCGAUGCAACCACCUUUGACAGAGGUGCAACUGCCUGAGCUUGGUCUCUGAGCUCUGGCAGGAGGUGCAACCGUCCCUGACAAGCGGUGGCACCACCCAGAGGUUCAGUCUUCGUGCUCUGCCAGGCGGUGCAACCGCCCCAGUCAGGCGGUGCAACCGCCAAACCCCAGAAUUCCGAGAGAUGACAGUUUUGAGCUUGGAAUUCAAACUGGUUUGGGGCCUAUAAAUGCCCCACUCUUUCAACACCGAGCAAGUUGCUCAUUACGCCUUAAUGGCCAUCGGAGAGGAGGUAACAAAUUUAAUUGAUACAGAUUUAUCAUUUGAUGAGAUAUUAAAUGCCUUCCAUGACUUAUUUGAUGAAUGCAAGAUUAUUAGUAGAAAAUAUAAAUUGCUAAAAAAGGAGCAUGAUAGUCUUACUUGUAAUUUCGAUUAGUUAAAAACUGAAUAUCAUGAUAGUUUAGGUUCUUGUAUAAAAUGUCAUGAUUUAGAAACUAUCCAAAAGGAAAACUUGCUAAUUAAGGACACAUUGAAAAAAUUCGAGAUUGGUAGUAAGUCGUUGAACAUGAUCCUUACAAACAAUGGUCACGUUCCCAAAAGAAGUGGAAUCGGAUUUAUGAGAAAUCCUCACCAAAAUCCAACCACCUUUAUAAAAGGCCCCAUCCUACAUGUUCGACACCAAAGCAAAUGCAACUUUUGUUGCAAACAUGGACACAAAAUGUAUUAUUGUCCAUUGAAGAAAAUUAGUCUGAACAAAUUAAUUUGGGUUCCUAAAGGAACCAUGAUAAACUCUAUGCAACAUGAUAAAUAAUGUAGAUCAGUUUUUGAGGCACCCAAAAUUAAAUGGGUACCUAAAAAUUAUCCUUUCUUGUAGAGACAUACACCAUCACAAGCUAGGAGCAAGAGAUGGUACCUUGAUAGUGGAUGCUCAAGGCAUAUGACCGGAGAUCCAUCUCAAUUCUCUAAGCUCACUAGCAUAGACGAAGGCUAUGUCAUCUUCGGAGACAACAAUAAGAGUAAAAUCAUUGGAAAAUGAACCAUAGGUAACAAAUCCAACUAUAUCAUGAACUUACGUCUUGUAAGCAAAGUUUGUCAUGGACUUGCAAAGCUUACCAACUUGAAUAAUAUGUCAUAAACAUGCAUAUGACAUUUGAAGUAGAGUAUGCGCGUCACUAGAUCUAUCUUGAUUGUGCAAAAUUUCUCAUCUUAAAAUAAAAAUUCUUACGUAAAUUACGUAAGUAAAGUUGACUGCUCCACAAAUAAAAAAUCUUCUCAAGUCAAAAACAUUCAAAUCAGACCACACAGCAGUUAAAAUGAGUGCUCACUGCCUGCAGGCGGUGGCACCGCCCAGCUGGCGGUAGCACCGCCGGCUAUCACAGGUUGCAAGCAGUUGCACCACCCCGGCUAGUGGUGCAACCACCUGCAAUCCUGCCGCCCCUUUUAAACCAAGCUAGGGCCGGCGGUGGAACCGACCCCAACUCACUCCCUUUCCCUCUUUACUCUUCCAAAUCUUCUCCACCACCAUUUCUCCCCUCUUAGCAUCCCAAAUACUCCUCAUUUCGAAGCAAAAGAUCAACAAUCUCUCCUUCUCUUGAAGAUCUUACUUAUGGUAUUCUCUAAGAAGUCUUUAAAUUCUGUUUUUGAUUCAUUUACUCUUGCUCAUUACUAUCCUCUUAAAUAAUAAUAGUUAUGGGCUCUAGAAGAUCCUCAAGCGACAAAGGGAAGAGGAGAUUAGUGAAAGACUUUUAUCUUACCCUUUUCGAUUCAAAAUAUCAUACUGAAAAAUUUUCCUCUUUCGAAUUUAGAAGUGUCAAUAAGGGAAAACAUGUAGAUUUAGAUGAACUAAGAGACUUAGAGACAAUCCAAUGGUUUGCAAACCUAGAUCUACUCCCUAUUCUAAAAAUUAGUGAACCCAUCUAUCCAAGACUUGUUAUACUAUUUUACAACAAUCUACAAGUAGAUGAAGAAGAAAGAAUAUCUACCUAUCUCUUAGGACAACACAUCUCCAUUACGGAUAAAUUCAUUUGCGACAUGAUAGGCUUUCCCAUAAAAAAUAGAGAACUUUAUUUUAGAGGAUCAUGGGACAAUGAAACAGUUGGGACAACAUAUGUUGAAGCCUUAGGAACAAUUUUCGGUAAUCCCAACUUAGUGAUAGUUCCCAAAAGCUGUGACCAUCUACUACCACUAAAUACUAAAGUACUUCAUCAUAUCCUAACUAGCAUCAUUCUCCCUAAACAAUACCAUCAUGAUGAAGUAAGUCAAAUGGAAUUAGGAACCAUGUAUUGGAUCAUGAAAGGACAUAACAUCUGUUUUGGAUACCUUAUCCAACAAAACAUGAUAGAACUAUCUAAGAGAGACAUGAUGCUUCCAUAUGGUGGUAUAAUCACUAGAAUACUUAAAGCCUACGAUAUUCCAAUCCCACCCGAUGAAAAAGUGAUGAAAGUAGAUAGGUUUAGCAUAGUAAACAAAAAUCUAUUUCACCAAUUGAGAUGUGUUUAUAGAAACGGUAAUUGGGUUAGAAUGCCUAGAAGAACCGAUCCCCCUCAACCUGAACUAGAACCCGAAACACCAAUCUUUAGGGGUACUCAAUCUCCUCCGAUCUGUCCCUUUGAGGAAACACGUCCAUUUAAGCAAGCUCCUACAUCAUCUAUCGAAGACAUUGGAAUUCGGAUGGACCGAUUUGAACAAAGACAAGAUCGGCUUGAACAUCGACAAUAUCAAAUCCUAUCUGAACUACAGCAAAUUCAUCAACAAUUUGACUCUUUAUUUAGGCACUUUAAUUUUUCACCUCCUGAAUAAGCUUGUAUAUGUGGACACAAUCACCUCUUGUUGUAACAGUUACAUUGUUGUAAACUUUUUAUGUUACUCACCUUGAUCACAAUGUCUUGAUGACUACUAAUCUUUGAUAUGGUUUCUUGAUGUAUUAAUUGGUGAGAAUAUGCAGGGUUACGUUGCUCAAUCUCGUUACUCAUUGUCGGAUUUCAUGUUGAAAUUAAAUGUUUCUAUAAUGCUUACUUUGAAAACCUUGUGUCUUGGUUUCCAUGAUAAAUGUGAUUUGAGAAAGUAAUAUAGCCAUGAAAUUGAUGUGUCAUUUCCAUGAUGUUAAUGUGACAUAAUAUUACCAUAUAUUGCUAUAAUACUAAACAUCAACUAGCUGAUAUUUUUGCAAACCUCUAAGUGAAGAACAAUUUGAUUUCAUAAGAAAAGAAUUAGUAAUGUUGAUGUGUCCGAAUACAUAAACUUGUUAAAAUUAUUAUUCGGACUUUAUUGAUUGAAUGAUGAAAUCACUUAAUUGCCAUUACAUGCCUAAAAUAACAUGUUGGAAAUUAAUACAAAAAUUUCCAUAACAAUGAGCAUGUCUUCAUGAUAGUAUAGUCUUUUCCGAUUGCAUGAAAGUGUUAAAUUAAAUUUUCAGUUCCAAUCGGAUUUCAUGAAUACAUUAUUUAUUCUCUUUCGGACUUAAUAAACAUAUGUCACAUAUAGUUUGAUUCACAUCAUUGAUUUUUGAAAAUAGAAUCAUCUAGCAAAUGCAUAUCUUUUAGACUUAUCAUGUGAAAAAUAUUCUCUUUGAGAAAUAGAUUUGAUGAUUCCUUCUUAUAAAAGGAAGAUAUUUUUAUAUGUAAGGAUUUGAUUCACAUAAAUAUCCUAAUCCUUGUAAAGCAUGUCUUAAUAUCCUAUCGAUUUGAACUACAUAAAUGGCUUUCCUCCUUCAUGUAAAAAGAUAAUAACAAAUAAAAAGGAAGAAGUUUUCACUCUAUAAUCUUCAUGUCAUGUUUUUCUUGAGAUGUUUGUAUAAUUUAUAUAGAUAAAUGACAUGAACUUACUUAUGGCAUCGCAUAUAUAUUUAAAAGUUGUUUAUAUCGUUCUCCUUUUUGUUGAUGAUAAAGGGAGAGAAAUAUAUGAAUUGAUGCUAUAAAUGCCAUAUUAUGUUGAAAAAAGCAGAUAUAUGAAUUGAUGCUAUGAUUAUGCCAUGCUUGCAUCAUCAAAAAUAUAUGAAUUAAUGAUAACUAUGAUUGCCAUAUUAGUAAUAUGCCAUGUUUGCAUCAUGUUAAGAUAUCAAGAACAUGCAUCGUAGUCCUAUGUGUUGAUAUCUUACCAUGUGAUGAAAUGCUAUGAAUGCUAAAAUACUUGAAAUGUAUGCAUCAUGUUUAGAUAUCAAAAUCUUACUUCAAAAUUUUACAUAUUGAUAUCUUACCAUAUGAUGAAUUGCUAUCAUUACCAUCAUUCACAUUUGAAAUUUAAAAAUGGAUGUCAAGCCUUGACAUCAUACAUUAUUUUCAGAGAGAUACAUCAUGAUGGGAAUCAUGAUGGGAGUAUUGAUAAGGUUAAAUGAUUUUAACUUAUCACUAUGUCUCUUGAAUUCAAAGACUUUGAAUUCAAGAAUGACUUAUCUCAAUUAUGGCACAUAGAUAGGGGGAGAUAAGGUUAACUCCGUUAUCAAUUGAUUGUCAUCAUCAAAAAGGAGGAGAUUGUUGAAUCUCAGAUUUUGAUGAUGAUGUCAAUUGUCAUUUGUUAUCUAAUCCAUAUGUUGAGAUAAGUGUGCAGGAUAAACUACGAUGAAAGUAAGACAUGCAGUAGAAGUUGCACCGGAGUCAAGACUAUGAUCACGUUGGGAGUUCGAGAGCUCGACGGAAGUCCGGACGGUCGUUGGAGGUUCUGCGGGAACAAAUCCGAGAAGUCCAGGAGCUUGCCAAAGAAUCUUGUCGGAACUUGCCAAGUGGAUCGUCGCAAGUCCAGGAGUUUGCCGGAAGUCCGCAGGAGCAUCACCGAGGGUUCAUCGGAUGAUCGACGGAAGCUCGCCGGAAGAAGCGAUUGACGCACCGGAGCAAGUUGCCGUAAAUGUCUUAAAAAUUUAUAGUUAGCACGAUGAUUAAGUUAGAAAUGGGAGGUGAUCCCAUUAACAUAAUCUUGGGGUAAUUGGGCCCUUGACAGACCCAAAUUGGACCGAAUGAAUCAGCCCAUUCAAACCUAAAUUACUUGGUCAGAGGUGGCACCGCCUGGGUCGGCGGUGGCACCACCCAGGGCUUAGUCUCCGAGCUCUGGCUGGGCGGUUGCACCGCCUCUAACAGAGGUGCAACCGCUUGAGCUCAGUCUCCGAGCUCUGGUUGGGUGGUGCAACUGCCCCAAUCAGGCAGUGGCACCGCUUGAGCUCGAUCUCCGAGCUUUGGCAGGAGGUGCAACCACCCCUGACAAGUGGUGGCAUCGCCCAGAGGCUCAGUCUUCGAGCUCUGUUAGGCGGUGCAACCACCCCUGUCAGGCGGUGCAAAUGCCAGACCCUGGAAUUUCGGGAGAUGAUAGUUUUGUGUUAGGAUCGGAGCGACACUAAGAGGGGGGGGGGUGAAUUAGUGCAGCGGAUUAAAACUUCGAUUUUAGAAAAUCUUUCGUACGAUAAGAACGGAACUUGAAAAGCUUAACUUGAAAGCGUAUUCUUAAAUAUGCGCAGCAAAAGUAAUAAGGAACUAAAGCAUGUUAGAAGGUUUGCAAUAAUGUAAAUAGCAAUAAUGAAAUGCAAACCAAGGAUCACGCCAAUUUUAGAGUGGUUCGGUCAAAUGACCUACAUCCACUUGCGAGGCCCCUCUUCGAUGANNNNNNNNNNNNNNNNNNNNCCAAGGAUCACGCCAAUUUUAGAGUGGUUCGGUCAAAUGACCUACAUCCACUUGCGAGGCCCCUCUUCGAUGAGGCUCUCACCUUCCACUAGCAAAUCUCUUGAAAUGGAAGGGCAAAUACCCCUCUUACAACUCUUUACAAGCGGUUCACUCUCUUACAGAUUUUCGAGAAGGAAUGAGGUGAACACUAGUAAAUUGAAAACAAAACUUUCUAAGACUUUUCUAAGACCUUUCUCUCAAUCAAUUGCUGCUCAAAAAACUACAUCUUGCUUGAUCACAAGUUAAAGUGAUUUACGAAUUGACUUUUCUACCGAAAUUGCUCUUAUCAUACGAACACAGUUUUAAUCGUCGAAAGUUUUCCGCUGCACUAUCACCCCCCCCCCCCCCCCCCCUCUUAGUGCUCUUGAUCCUAACAGCAAGCGAUUGCACCGUCCCAGCCAUUGGUGCAACCGCCCGCAAUCUUGCCCCUUUUUAAACUGAGCUAGGGCCGGCGGUGGAACCGACCCCAACUUACUCCCUUCCCCUCUUUACACCACCAAAGCUUCUCCACCUUCAUUUCUCCCAAAUACUCCUCAUUUCAAAGCAAAAGAUCAACGAUCUCUCUUUCUCUUAAGGAUCUCACUUAAGGUAUUCUCUAAGAACCCUUUAAAUUCUAUUUUUGAGUCAUUUACUCUUGCUCAUUACUAUCUUCUUAAAUAGCAGUAGUUAUGGGCUCUAGAAGAUCCUCUAUGGACAAAGGGAAGAUGAGAUUAGAAGAAGACUUUGAUCUUACCCUUUUCGAUUCAAAAUAUCAUGCUGAAAAAUUUUCUUCCUUCGAAUUUAGGAGUGUCAAUAAGGGAAAACAUGUAGAUCUAGAUGAACUAAGAGACUUAGAGAUAAUCCAAUGGUUUACAAACUUAGAUCUACUCCAAAUUUUACAAAUUAGUGAACCCAUCUAUCCUAGACUUGUUAGAUUGUUUUACAACAAUCUACAAGUAGAUAAAGAAGAAAGAAUGUCUACCUAUCUCCUAGGACAACACAUCUCCAUUACGAAUAGAUUCAUUUGCGACAUCAUAGGCAUUCCUGUAUAAAAUAGAGGUCUUUAUUUUAGAGGAUCAUGGGAUAAUGAAACAGUUGGGACAACAUAUGUUGAAGCCUUAGGAACAAUUUUCGGCAAUCCCAACUUAGUGAUAGUUCCUAAAAGUUGUGAACAUCUACUACCACUAAACAUUA